AAAGGUACAAAGUAAUUUUUUUAGUAUAUAUCAUCACACAAUCAUAGUACAACCAGCACACACAAGCCAUCAUCCUCCGUACAAGCCAGAAAAGUAAAUAAGAACAAUCACAAGAUUUACAUGGGCAUCAUGCCCUAAUCUUGAUUGAUCUUGACAUUAUAUAGCAUGGGAUGACUUAAUGGUGGUGGGUUACAACACACCACUUAUUUAAUCCAACCGGCAAUAUAAGUAAUGACGAUACUAUGUCUGGCAUGGUUGAUGUACCCGAACAUCUCAUGCCAACAAUUACUCUUGGACGUUUGCUUCACCAUUUCCUUUUUCUGCUUGAGUCCCAAGUGGUGGUUUUGGUUGUGCAUUCGGGUCAGGCAGUGGUUGUGGAUUCGGGUCUGGUAAUGGUUGUGGGUUUGGAUCAGGUUGCGGUCCUGGUAAUGGCUGAGGGUUUGGGUUUGGCUGUGGGUCCGGCAAUGGCUUCGGGUUUGGGUCUGGUAAUGGUUGCGGGUUUGGAUGAGGUUGUGGUCCUGGUAAUGGCUGAGGGUUUGGGUUUGGCUGUGGGUUCGGCAAUGGUAUCGGGUUUGGGUCUGGUAAUGGUUCUGGGUUUGGAUCAGGCUGUGGUCCUGGUAAUGGCUGAGGGUUUGGGUUUGGUUGUGGGUCCGGCAAUGGUUUUGGGUUUGGGUCUGGUAAUGGUUGUGGAUUUCGAUCAGGCUGCGGUCUUGGUAAUGGUUGAGGGUUUGGUUUUGCUCGUGGGUCUGGUAGUGGCCGCGGCUUUGUGUUUGGCUGUGGGUUCAUCAACUGUUGCAGGUUUUGUCCUGGCAAUAGUUGUGGAUUUGGGUCAGGNNNNNNNNNNGUUGUGGGUUUGGAUCAGGUUGCGGCCCUGGUAGUGGCUUAGGGUUUGGGUUUGGCUGUGGGUCCGGCAAUGGUUUUGGGUUUGGGUCUGGUAAUGGUUGUGGAUUUCGAUCAGGCUGCGGUCUUGGUAAUGGUUGAGGGUUUGGUUUUGCUCGUGGGUCUGGUAGUGGCCGCGGCUUUGUGUUUGGCUGUGGGUUCAUCAACUGUUGCAGGUUUUGUCCUGGCAAUAGUUGUGGAUUUGGGUCAGGGUGUGGUCCUGGUAAUGGUUGAGCGUUUGGAUCAGGUUGUGGAUCUAGCAGUGGUUGUGGGUUUGUAUGAGGUUUAGGCUCGGGUAGCGGUUGCGGCUUUGGGUCUGGUUGUGGUCCCGGCAAUGGUUGAGGGUUUGGAUCUGGCUGUUUUCCUGGUAGUGGUUCUGGAUUUGGGUUCGCCCGUGGGCCGUACUGAGGGUCUCUAGUGAUCAGGUUGUGCCUCCCGGCAGCAAGAGCAAACACUGGAAGAAGCAUAAGCAGCAACGGUGCUACGAGAAGAGAAGACGCGGAUGGGCGCUUCCUCAUCGUCAUGGCUAAGCUUGUGUUGGUACGAACUUGCAAGUGCGUGCGUCUCGAUCUUCCUAUUUAUAAGCGAAUUCAGCCAUCAAGGCUGGACAAGCAUGUACGUUGUUUACUCCAACUCUGAUUGGGCUUGUUAGCUUUGCCUUUUUGAAGAUGCGGGACUGCACGCCUCCGCUUAGUGCUCUAACCAGCAGCUAGCCACAAUAAAAAGUCAUUUAGAAAAGUUUUGAGUUAUCAUCAUAAAGAAAAAGUUUGUGUAGUUUUCGUCUGGAUAGAUGUGACAUUUUUCAGUUGAUCGUAGGAGAGCAACAUGCAGAAGCAUACAGUUGCCCAAGUUGUGAACAACCUGAUCACUUUCAGUAAUUCUGUUGAAUUCAUAGCAGGGUAGCAGAUGGCUGUGAGCAUGGAAUUUGUAAAUCAUGUAAUUUUUUUUAAAAUAAGAAAAAUCAUGUAAACACGUAUACAUGUUAUUUGCGUGUCCAAGAAGUUUAAUUAAGCCAUACACAGAUUUGUAGGCUACAUAAAAAAAAUCCAGCCCAAAUGCAAUAGAAAUAAGCCUAUUUUAAAUUAUGUAUUUGUCGUUUUCCCCUUUGUGUAGACUAUAUAUGAUUUUUUUUCAAAUAUAUUUUGUUGAAAUUUUGUAUGAACACACUAUACCUUUUUUAUUGAAAAUUUUGAGGUGCAAGAAUAAAGUUCUUGAUAAAAAAUAAAGAAGCCUGUACGAUGUAUUGUUGUACACAGGAAUAUCGUGGAUUCUAAACUUGAGGUUUGCAUGGAUGGAUUUUUUUUACGGAAUCUAGUUUAAAUGAGUCCUAUUGUUUCCCGUAUGAAUUCCUAUUCUAUGACUCAAACAACACAUACAGAAAAAUUUUCUAAGGAUUAGAUUCCUCCAAAAUUCUAUUAAAAGUUUAAAACCCCUUUGAAUCAAAGAAGCCUAUUCCCCCCAAAAUAAAGAAAAGAAUCAAAUGAGCUCGGGUGAACAGUAAAAUCAAAACUAAAUCAAUUUUUUUUUAAAAAAAUCCAAUUUUUUUUGGGAGAAAAAGUUCUAAGUGCUUGCAAAAAUUCGCCAUGAAAUCACAUUUCUAGAAGGCGUGGCAAAAAAAAAAAACAAAAUCAGUACUCUGAAAAAGCUACUUUCAAAAGCAUUUUGGAGCACUGAAUUUGUUUUUUUUGCCACGCUUUACAGGAAUGUGAUUUCAUGAUGAAUUUUUGCAAGCACUUAAAACUUUUGUUAAUGUUUCUCCCAAAAAAAAUUGGGAAUUUUUUGAAUUUUUUUUGAAUUUUUUUCGAUUUUACUGUUCACCAAGCUCAAAUGAGCUCGGGAGCAGAAAGGCACUUUCGAUCAAAGAAGCCUAUUUCGCAGCAAAGCUAGUGGCUGUCCUAUCGGACAGUGAUGCACCUUUAAGUACGCGGUUUCUAAUAAUCACGAUCAGUGCACGCCGUGCACAGUGCACUCAUUUCGGUUGUAGAUGUAACUUUCACAUUUCAUACACCAAUCACGAUCAGUUGCUUGUUGGCACGGGCGGAGCUCCGUAGGGGCAGACCUGGGCCAUGGCCCGCCCAGGAAUUUGACAAAAAAAGUUUUUACUACUAGUCGUCUUAGCCCAGCCCACUAGCCCACGCACGCACUGAAUAUCCCCCCAUCGGCCAUCGUCUCCUCGUCUCGCGCACGCUGCACGCACAGGCACACUCACGCCUUCCCCAAUUCCCCAUCCUCUCAGUCCCAGACUCAUGUAGGUUGUAGCCACGCCGCCGACGACUACCGACGUGGACAGGGAACACGUCCACACGGUCCACCGGAGCGCGCCGCCCGCCAUCUCUCGGAGCAACCGCCAUGGCAACGCCCGCCGGGAUCUCGCCUCGCCCCUGCCCUGCUCCCUCCUGCCGCCCAUCAUCCGCACACUUACANNNNNNNNNNNNNNNNNNNNNNNNNNNNNNNNNNNNNNNNNNNNNNNNNNNNNNNNNNNNNNNNNNNNNNNNNNNNNNNNNNNNNNNNNNNNNNNNNNNNNNNNNNNNNNNNNNNNNNNNNNNNNNNNNNNNNGCAAUAACCUGAUUUUGUUCAUUUCCAUACACCCAGUGAUCAGUCCUGCUAGUGAUAAAUAAUAGUCUGAUGAUCUGAUCUUACGCAAAUUUUAACAUAGGUAGUCGGGAAAGGAAAAUAAGACUCAGAGAAGAAGAAGAUCACUGCACAAUAAGAUGGAAGAUGAGAAUCUGGCUAAUAACUUGUUAGUUCACAUAGAUGGUGGAAUUCUAGAAAACUACAGCCACGAAGAUGUCAUUGCAGAUUUUAUAAACAAGAAGAUCGGAGAGUUGAUUGUAUGUGAGUAGGUCCAUGUCUAAUGUCUCUGACACUUUUGUAUUAUCUAACUCAAUAGUGAAACAUGGUUGAACUGUACUUUGGUACAUAUAUAUAUUAUAUAUAUACAUAUCUGCUAGCUCAAUCUUGUGACCUGGGUGCUUGUAAUAUGUCCUUAUGGGUAAGAAUUUAGAAAAAAUUGUGUUCUUCUUCAGUCUGGCCCGCCCAACUUUUUCGUUCAAGCUCCGCCACUGCUUGUUGGUGCACAUCCAAUGCUCUAGAAUAAAACAAAAAGUACUCCUAUAUACAAAACGUACUUUACCUAACCUACCGAUUGAAUCGUAUACAUAGAUGAAAAAGAAAAGACAUCCGUAGAGUCCCAAGUUACCUACCGAUUGAAUCGUAUGUAUAGAUGAAAAAGAAAAGACAUCCAUAGAGUACCAAGUUACCUACCGAUUGAAUCAUACAUAUAGACGAAAAAGAAAAGACAUGCAUAGAGUACCAAGUUAAAGACGAUAUGACCUCACAACUAGAUUGGGUUGGGUGAGUGGAGUGCCACUUUAAUCCUUGUCUGGAGCACGCGCUAUGAUAUUUCUUCAGAGGCGCUGAAGUGGGGAACAAGACUGAUAGAACAAACAACAAGUGAGAUAUUUUGAGCUUCACUAGGUUGGAGGCCUGGUGUGCUCAGAAUUUAUCAGGGUGUAUUCAGGUUGCAGCACUGCUGCCAAGGCAUUUCUCCAGCUUCGCUCUGAAGAUCUUUUGCUUUGCUUUGUUCCUCUGUUUGUUUGUAAUGAAGUUCCCGUGUUUUGUGAUGGUUGCAAGUUCCCUGUAGUCUUUAUAUAUUUGGCUCAAGGGUGCCUGAAAAUUUCAUAGUUAUGUUUAAAAAAAUGCCGUAGUUGUUAGUUUUUGGACCAUCUAUCUAAAUCUAUCAAAGACCCUGUUGCCCGAGCUAGCCAAUCAAAGUUGGGCCAUUUGCAUCAAGCUAGGUAGGAUGCGUCGCCGGAAAACCCAAAUCGCUAAUUAAGGAGUACUCUUUGCAAAGGUCACUCCUACCAUGUCGCAACUAGUGAGUUUUCCUUUUUUUGUCGAUUCGUUUAUUCAACACGUUUUAUCGGUUAAAACAUGCAUUCACAUCUUGAAUCGUUUUCUCCAUUGUAUUCCUCGCACUGAGAUCUUGAAAAUUAGAUCCGAUCUGAUAGGUUUUGAUGAACGUUUUACUUUACGAAAAAUACCGAACAAAAAACAAACCGGGAGCACAUUUUUUCCUUUCUGAAAAGGGCACAAUCGUGCCUCUCGUGUCGUUACAAAUCUUAUCUCUGUUCGUCGUUACAAAUCCUAUGAAUUGCUAUUCUAUCUUCACAACAUCCUAUACUCCCCUUGUGUCGUUACAAAUCUUAUCUCUGUUCGUCGUUUUUGCAUUGACAAUUCAGUAACAAUUGAGUUUUACCCCCUUGACUUUGUUGUGAAGGAUCUAGCCACUCGGACUCCUUAUGAGCCGCAGUAGCUACGGCCAGCUUUACUCCUUCUCCGGCGGCACCACCAACCACCAGGCGGUGCUCUCUAUGGACGUUGGAAACUUGUGGCAUCAGCGAUUAGGGCACCCCAGUGCUGCCUCCCUUUCCCGUUUGGCGAGCAGUUUUUAACCAAAUUGUAAUAAGCCAGUCCACCCCAUGGUACUUGUCAUGCAUGUCAAUUAGGCCACCAUGCUCUCCUUCCUUUUUCCAGAUUCUCUGUCAUUUACUACUUUUCCUUUUCAACUAGUGCACUAUGAUAUAUGAACCUCAACAAUUGCGAGUUUUUCCGGCUUCAAAUAUUAUUUGUUUGUCAUAGACGACUUCACUCACUUCCCUUGGAGCUUCCCGCUACACCAUAAGCCCCAUGCCGCUGCCACCCUUGAACGCUUUUACCAGUACGUGCUCAUACAAUUCCGUGUUUACAUACAGUGUGUCCAAUGUGAUAAUGGGGGCGACUUCCUCAACGUUCACCUAUGCACUUUCUGUUGGGGAACGUUGCAGAAAACAAAAAUUUUCCUACGGUUUCACCAAGAUCCAUCUAGGACUUCAUCUAGCAACGAGUAAUCGGAUUGCAUCUACGUACCUUGUAGAUCGCGAGUGGAAGCGUUCAAAGAACGGGGAUGAGGGAGUCGUACUCGACGUGAUCCAAAUCACCGGAGAUCCUAGCGCCGAACGGACGACACCUCCGCGUUCAACACACGUACGGUCAGCGUAACGUCUCCUUCCUCUUGAUCCAGCAAGGGGCAAGGAGAGGUUGAGGAAGAUGGCUCCAGCAGCAGCACGACGGCGUGGUGGUGAUGGAGCUGCAGUACUCCGGCAGGGCUUCGCCAAGCUCUAUGGAGGAGGAGGAUGUGUUGGAGAGGGAGAGGGAGGCACCAAAGGCAAAGGUAAGAGGUCCUCCAUCCUCCCCACUAUAUAUAGGGGGGCCUAGGGGGGGACGCCGGCCCUAGGAGAUGCAAUCUCCUAGGGGGGCGGCGGCCAAGGGGUGGGGGACUUGCCCCCCAAGCAAGGGGGCGUCCCCCCCCUUUAGGGUUUCCCCCACCCUAGGCGCAUGGGCCCUAGGGGAAGUGGCGCCCCAGCCCACUUUGGGCUGGAUCCCUUCCCACUUCAGCCCAUGGGGCCCUCCGGGAUAGGUGGCCCCACCCGGUGGACCCCCGGGACCCUUCCGGUGGUCCCGGUACAAUACCGGUGACCCCGAAACUUGUCCCGAUAGCCGAAAUAGCACUUCCUAUAUAUAAUUAUUUACCUCCGGACCAUUCCGGAACUCCUCGUGAUGUCCGGGAUCUCAUCCGGGACCCCGAACAACAUCCGGGUUACUGCAUAUACAUAUCCCUAUAACCCUAGCGUCACCGAACCUUAAGUGUGUAGACCCUACGGGUUCGGGAGACAUGUAGACAUGACCGAGAUCGCUCUCCGGUCAAUAAACAAUAGCGGGAUCUGGAUACCCAUGUUGGCUCCCACAUGCUCCUCGAUGAUCUCAUCGGAUGAACCACGAUGUCGAGGAUUCAAGCAACCCCGUAUACAAUUCCCUUCGUCAGUCGGUAUGUUACUUGCCCGAGAUUCGGUCGUCGGUAUCCCAAUACCUCGUUCAAUCUCGUUACCGGCAAGUCACUUUACUCUUACCGUAAUGCAUGAUCCCGUGACCAGACACUUGGUCACUUUGAGCUCAUUAUGAUGAUGCAUUACCGAGUGGGCCCAGUGAUACCUCUUCGUCAUACGGAGUGACAAAUUCCAGUCUUGAUCCGUGUCAACCCAACAGACACUUUCGGAGAUACCCGUAGUAUACCUUUAUAGUCACCCAGUUACUUGUGACGUUUGGUACACCCAAAGCACUCCUACGGUAUCCGGGAGUUACACGAUCUCAUGGUCUAAGGAAAAGAUACUUGACAUUGGAAAACUCUAGCAAAUGAACUAUACGAUCUUGUGCUAUGUUUAGGAUUGGGUCUUGUCCAUCACAUCAUUCUCCUAAUGAUAUGAUCUCGUUAUCAAUGACAUUCAAUGUCCAUAGUCAGGAAACCAUGACUAUCUUUGAUCAACGAGCUAGUCAACUAGAGGCUUACUAGGGACAUGUUGGUGUCUAAGUAUUCACACAUGUAUUACAAUUUCCGGAUAACACAAUUAUAGCAUGAAUAAAAGACAAUUAUCAUGAACAAGGAAAUAUAAUAAUAAUGCUUUUAUUAUUGCCUCUAGGGCAUAUUUCCAACAGUCUCCCACUUGCACUAGAGUCAAUAAUCUAGUUACAUUGUGAUGAAUCGAACACCCAUGGAAUUCUGGUGUUGAUCAUGUUUUGCUCUAGGGAGAGGUUUAGUCAACGGAUCUGCUACAUUCAGGUCCAUAUGUACUUUACAAAUAUCUAUGUCUCCAUCUUGAACAUUUUCACGAAUGGAGUUGAAGCGACGCUUGAUGUGCCUCGUCUUCUUGUGAAAUCUGGGCUCCUUGGCAAGUGCAAUAGCUCCAUGUUGUCACAGAAGAGCUUCAUAGGCCCCGAUGCAUUGGGUAUGACUCCUAGGUCGGUGAUGAACUCCUUCACCCAAAUUGCUUCAUGCGCUGCCUCCGAGGCUGCCAUGUACUCCGCUUCACAUGUAGAUCCCGCCACGACGCUCUUCUUGCAACUGCACCAGCUUACUGCCCUACCAUUCAAAAUAUACACGUAUCCGGUUUGUGACUUAGAGUCAUCCAGAUCUGUGUCGAAGCUAGCAUCGACGUAACCAUUUACGACGAGCUCUUCGUCACCUCCAUAGACGAGAAACAUUUCCUUAGUCCUUUUCAGGUACUUCAGGAUAUUCUUGACCGCUGUCCAGUGUUCCUUGCCGGGAUUACUUUGGUACCUACCUACCAAACUUACGGCUAGGUUUACAUCAGGUCUGGUACACAGCAUGGCAUACAUAAUAGAACCUAUGGCUGAGGCAUAGGGGAUGAUACUCAUCUCUUCUAUAUCUUCUGCCGUGGUCGGACAUUGAGCUGAGCUCAAUUUCAUACCUUGCAACACAGGCAAGAACCCCUUCUUAGACUGAUCCAUAUUGAAUUUCUUCAAUAUCUUAUCAAGGUAUGUGCUUUGUGAAAGACCUAUGAGGCGUCUUGAUCUAUCUCUGUAGAUCUUGAUGCCUAAUAUAUAAGCAGCUUCUCCAAGGUCCUUCAUUGAAAAACUCUUAUUCAAGUAGGCCUUAAUGCUGUCCAAAAGUUCUAUAUCAUUUCCCAUCAAAAGUAUGUCAUCUACAUAUAAUAUGAGAAAUGCUACAGAGCUCCCACUCACUUUCUUGUAAACACAGGCUUCUCCAUAAGUCUGCGUAAACCCAAACGCUUUGAUCAUCUCAUCAAAGCGAAUGUUCCAACUCCGAGAUGCUUGCACCAGCCCAUAAAUCGAGCGUUGGAGCUUGCACACCUUGUCAGCAUACUUAGGAUCGACAAAACCUUACGGCUGCAUCAUAUACCAUUCUUCCUUAAGGAAACCAUUAGGAAUGCCGUUUUGACGUCCAUUUGCCAUAUUUCAUAAUCAUAGAAUGCGGCAAUUGCUAACAUGAUUCGGACGGACUUCAGCUUCGCUACCGGUGAGAAAGUCUCAUCGUAGUCAACCCCUUGAACUUGUCGAUAACCCUUAGCGACAAGCCGAGCUUUAUAGAUGGUCACACUACCAUCCGCGUCUGUCUUCUUCUUAAAGAUCCAUUUAUUUUCUAUGGCUUGCCGCUCUACGGCCAAGUCAGUCAAAGUCCAUACUUCGUUUUCAUACAUGGAUCCUAUCUCGGAUUUCAUGGCUUCCAGCCAUUUGUCAGAAUCCGGGCCCGCCAUCGCUUCUUCAUAGUUUGAAGGUUCACCGUUGUCUAACAACAUGAUUUCCAAGACAGGGUUGCCGUACCAAUCUGGUGCGGAACGUGUCCUUGUGGACCUUCGAAUUUCAGUAGGAGCUUGAUCAGAAGUAUCUUGAUCAUCAUCAUUAACUUCCUCUCUAGUCGGUGCAGGCACCUCAGGAACAUUUUCUUGAGUUGCGCCAUUUUCCGGUUCAAGAGGUAAUACUUCAUCAAGUUCUACUUUCCUCCCAUUUACUUCUUUCGAGAGAAACUCCUUCUCUAGAAAGGAUCCAUUCUUGGCAACAAAGAUCUUGCCUUCGGAUCUGAGGUAGAAGGUAUACCCAAUAGUUUCUUUAGGGUAUCCUAUGAAGACGCAUUUUUCCGACUUGGGUUCGAGCUUUUCAGGUUGAAGUUUCUUGACAUAAGCAUCGCAUACCCAAACUUUUAGAAACGAUAGCUUAGCUUUCUUCCCAAACCAUAAUUCAUACGGUGUCGUCUCAACGGAUUUCGACGGAGCCCUAUUUAAAGUGAAUGCGGGAGUCUCUAAAGCAUAGCCCCAAAAAGAUAGCGGUAAAUCGGUAAGAGACAUCAUAGAUCACACCAUAUCUAAUAGAGUGCGAUUACGACGUUCGGACACACCAUUACGCUGAGGUGUUCCAAGCGGCGUGAGUUGUGAAACUAUUCCAUAUUUUCUUAAGUGUGUGCCAAACUCGUGACUCAAGUAUUCUCCUUCACGAUCUGAUCGCAGGAACUUGAUUUUCCUGUCACGUUGAUUCUCAACCUCACUCUGAAAUUCCUUGAACUUUUCAAAGGUCUCAGACUUGUGUUUCAUUAAGUAGACAUACCCAUAUAUACUCAAGUCAUCAGUGAGGGUGAGAACAUAACGCCACCGUGAGCCUCAACAGUCAUUGGACCGCACACAUCAGUAUGUAUGAUUUCCAAUAAGUUGGUUUCUCGCUCCAUUGUUCCUGAGAACGGAGUCUUGGUCAUUUUACCCAUGAGGCAUGAUUCGCACAUGUCAAAUGAUUCGUAAUCAAGAGACUCUAAAAGUCCAUCAGCAUGGAGCUUCUUCAUGCGUUUGACACCUAUGUGACCAAGGCGGCAGUGCCACAAGUAUGUGGGACUAUCAUUAUCAAUCUUACAUCUUUUGGUACUCACACUAUGAACAUGUGUAGCAUUACGCUCGAGAUUCAUUAAGAAUAAACCAUUCACCAUCGGAGCAUGACCAUAAAACAUAUCUCUCAUAUAAAUAGAACAACCAUUAUUCUCGGAUUUAAAUGAGUAGCCAUCUCGAAUUAAACGAGAUCCUGAUACAAUGUUCAUGCUCAAAGCUAGCACUAAAUAACAAUUAUUAAGGUUUAAAACUAAUCCCGAAGGUAAAUGUAGAGGUAGCGUGCCGACGGCGAUCACAUUGACCUUGGAACCAUUCCCGACGCGCAUCGUCACCUCGUCCUUCGCCAGUCUCCGCUUAUUCCGCAGCUCCUGUUUUGAGUUACAAAUGUGAGCAACCGCACCGGUAUCAAAUACCCAGGAGCUACUACGAGUACUGGUAAGGUACACAUCAAUUACAUGUAUAUCACAUAUACCUUUCGUGAUGCCGGCCUUCUUGUCCGCUAAGUAUUUGGGGCAGUUUCGCUUCCAGUGACCACUUCCCUUGCAAUAAAAGCACUUAGUCUCGGGCUUGGGUCCAUUCUUUGGCUUCUUCCCGGCAGCUUGCUUGCCGGGCGCGGCAACUCCCUUGUCGUCCUUCUUGAAGGCUUUCUUACCCUUGCCCUUCUUGAACUUAGUGGUUUUAUUCACCAUCAACACUUGAUGUUCCUUUUUGACUUCUACCUCAGCUGAUUUCAGCAUUGCAAAUACGUCAGGAAUGGUCUUUUCCAUCCCCUGCAUAUUGAAGUUUAUCACAAAGCUCUUGUAGCUCGGUGGAAGCGACUGAAGGAUUCUGUCAAUGACCGUGUCAUCCGGGAGAUUAACUCCCAGCUGAGUCAAGCGGUUAUGCAACCCAGACAUAAUGAGUAUGUGCUCACUGACAGAACUGUUUUCCUCCAUCUUACAGCUGAAGAACUUGUCGGAGACUUGAUAUCUCUCGACCCGGGCAUGAGCUUGGAAAACCAUUUUCAGCUCUUCGAACAUCUCAUAUGCUCCGUGUCUCUCAAAACGCUUUUGGAGCCCCGGCUCUAAGCUGUAAAGCAUGCCGGACUGAACGAGGGAGUAGUCAUCGGUACGUGCCUGCCAAGCGUUCAUAACGUCUUGUUCUGCAGGGAGAACAGGUGUGUCACCUGGCGGUGCUUGUAGGACAUAAUCUUUCUUGGCAGCUAUGAGGAUGAUCCUCAGGUUUCGGACCCAGUCCGUGUAGUUGCUGCCAUCGUCUUUCAGCUUGGUUUUCUCUAGGAACGCGUUGAAGUUGAGGACUACGUUGGCCAUUUGAUCUACAAGACAUAUUGUAAAUUUUUUAGACUAAGUUCAUGAUAAUUAAGUUCAUCUAAUCAAAUUAUUCAAUGAACUCCCACUUAGAUAGACAUCCCUCCAGUAAUCUAAGUAUAACAUGAUCCGAGUUAACUAGGACGUGUCCGAUCAUCACGUAAGACGGACUAGUCAACAUCGGUGAACAUCUUCAUGUUGAUCGUAUCUUCUAUAUGACUCAUGCUCGACCUUUCGGUCUUCUGUGUUCCGAGGCCAUGUCUGUACAUGCUAGGCUCGUCAAGUCAACCUAAGUGUUUGCAUGUGUAAAUCUGUCUUACACCCGUUGUAUGUGAACGUUGGAAUGAAUCUAACACCCGAUCAUCACGUGGUGCUUCGAAACAACGAACUGUCGCAAUGGUGCACAGUUAGGAGAAACACUUUCUUGAAAUUAUUAUGAGGGAUCAUCUUAUUUACUAUCGUUGUUCUAAGUAAACAAGAUGCAGAAACAUGAUAAACAUCACAUGCAAUCAAAUAGUGACAUGAUAUGGCCAAUAUCACAUAGCUCCUUUGAUCUCCAUCUUGGGGCUCCAUGAUCAUCUUGUCACCAGCAUGACACCAUGAUCUCCAUCAUCAUGAUCUCCAUCACAGUGUCUCCAUGAAGUUGCUCGCCAACUAUUACUUCUACUACUAUGGCUAACACGUUUAGCAAUAAAGUAAAGUAAUUUACAUGGCGUUUCUCAAUGAAACGCAGGUCAUACAAAAAAUAAAGACAACUCCUAUGGCUCCUGCCGGUUGUCAUACUCAUCGACAUGCAAGUCGUGAUUCCUAUUACAAUAGCAUGAGCAUCUCAUACAUCACAUGUAUAUCAUUCAUCAUUCAUCACAACUUUGGCCAUAUCACAUCACAGAACACUUGCUGCAAAAACAAGUUAGACGUCCUCUAAUUGUUGUUGCAAGUUUUACGUGGCUGCAAUAGGGUUCUAGCAAGAACGUUUUCUUACCUACGUGAAAGCCACAACAUGAUUUGUCAACUUCUAUUUACCCUUCAUAAGGACCCUUUUCAUCGAAUCCGCUCCAACUAAAGUGGGAGAGACAGACACCCGCCAGCCACCUUAUGCAACUUGUGCAUGUUAGUCGGUGGAACCGGUCUCACGUAAGCGUACGUGUAAGGUUGGUCCGGGCCGCUUCAUCCCACAAUACCGUUGAAGCAAGAUAAGACUAGUAGCGGCAAGAAAGUUGACAACAUCUACGCCCACAACAAAUUGUGUUCUACUCGUGCAAAGAGAACUACGCAUAGACCUAGCUCAUGAUGCCACUGUUGGGGAACGUUGCAGAAAACAAAAUUUUUCCUACGGUUUCACCAAGAUCCAUCUAGGAGUUCAUCUAGCAACGAGUGAUCGGAUUGCAUCUACGUACAUUGUAGAUCGCGAGCGGAAGCGUUCAAAGAACGGGGAUGAGGGAGUCGUACUCGACGUGAUCCAAAUCACCGGAGAUCCUAGCGCCGAACGGACGGCACCUCCGCGUUCAACAGACGUACGGUCAGCGUAACGUCUCCUUCCUCUUGAUCCAGCAAGGGGCAAGGAGAGGUUGAGGAAGAUGGCUCCAGCAGCAGCACGAUGGCGUGGUGGUGAUGGAGCUGCAGUACUCCGGCAGGGCUUCGCCAAGCUCUAUGGAGGAGGAUGUGUUGGAGAGGGAGAGGGAGGCACCAAAGGCAAAGGUAAGAGGUCCUCCAUCCUCCCCACUAUAUAUAGGGGGGCCUGGGGGGGGGGGCGCCGGCCCUAGGAGAUGCAAUCUCCUAGGGGGGCGGCGGCCAAGGGGUGGGGGACUUGCCCCCAAGCAAGGGGGCGCCCCCCCCUUUAGGGUUUCCCCCACCCUAGGCGCAUGGGCCCUAAGGGAAGUGGCGCCCCAGCCCACUUUGGGCUGGAUCCCUUCCCACUUCAGCCCAUGGGGCNNNNNNNNNNNNNNNNNNNNNNNNNNNNNNNNNNNNNNNNNNNNNNNNNNNNNNNNNNNNNNNNNNNNNNNNNNNNNNNNNNNNNNNNNNNNNNNNNNNNNNNNNNNNNNNNNNNNNNNNNNNNNNNNNNNNNNNNNNNNNNNNNNNNNNNNNNNNNNNNNNNNNNNNNNNNNNNNNNNNNNNNNNNNNNNNNNNNNNNNNNNNNNNNNNNNNNNNNNNNNNNNNNNNNNNNNNNNNNNNNNNNNNNNNNNNNNNNNNNNNNNNNNNNNNNNNNNNNNNNNNNNNNNNNNNNNNNNNNNNNNNNNNNNNNNNNNNNNNNNNNNNNNNNNNNNNNNNNNNNNNNNNNNNNNNNNNNNNNNNNNNNNNNNNNNNNNNNNNNNNNNNNNNNNNNNNNNNNNNNNNNNNNNNNNNNNNNNNNNNNNNNNNNNNNNNNNNNNNNNNNNNNNNNNNNNGGAAGAUGGCUCCAGCAGCAGCACGAUGGCGUGGUGGUGAUGGAGCUGCAGUACUCCGGCAGGGCUUCGCCAAGCUCUAUGGAGGAGGAUGUGUUGGAGAGGGAGAGGGAGGCACCAAAGGCAAAGGUAAGAGGUCCUCCAUCCUCCCCACUAUAUAUAGGGGGGCCUAGGGGGGGGGGCGCCGGCCCUAGGAGAUGCAAUCUCCUAGGGGGGCGGCGGCCAAGGGGUGGGGGACUUGCCCCCAAGCAAGGGGGCGCCCCCCCCUUUAGGGUUUCCCCCACCCUAGGCGCAUGGGCCCUAAGGGAAGUGGCGCCCCAGCCCACUUUGGGCUGGAUCCCUUCCCACUUCAGCCCAUGGGGCCCUCCGGGAUAGGUGGCCCCACCCGGUGGACCCCCGGGACCCUUCCGGUGGUCCCGGUACAAUACCGGUGACCCCGAAACUUGUCCCGAUAGCCGAAAUAGCACUUCCUAUAUAUAAUUCUUUACCUCCGGACCAUUCUGGAACUCCUCGUGAUGUCCGGGAUCUCAUCCGGGACCCCGAACAACAUUCGGGUUACUGCAUAUACAUAUCCCUAUAACCCUAGCGUCACCGAACCUUAAGUGUGUAGACCCUACAGGUUCGGGAGACAUGUAGACAUGACCGAGAUCGCUCUCCGGUCAAUAACCAACAGCGGGAUCUGGAUACCCAUGUUGGCUCCCACAUGCUCCUCGAUGAUCUCAUCGGAUGAACCACGAUGUCGAGGAUUCAAGCAACCCCGUAUACAAUUCCCUUCGUCAGUCGGUAUGUUACUUGCCCGAGAUUCGAUCGUCGGUAUCCCAAUACCUCGUUCAAUCUCGUUACCGGCAAAUCACUUUACUCUUACCGUAAUGCAUGAUCCCGUGACCAGACACUUGGUCACUUUGAGCUCAUUAUGAUGAUGCAUUACCGAGUGGGCCCAGUGAUACCUCUCCGUAAUACGGAGUGACAAAUCCCAGUCUUGAUCCGUGUCAACCCAACAGACACUUUCAGAGAUACCCGUAGUAUACCUUUAUAGUCACCCAGUUACGUUGUGACGUUUGGUACACCCAAAGCACUCCUACGGUAUCCGGGAGUUACACGAUCUCAUGGUCUAAAGGAAAAGAUACUUGACAUUGGAAAACUCUAGCAAACGAACUAUACGAUCUUGUGCUAUGUUUAGGAUUGGGUCUUGUCCAUCACAUCAUUCUCCUAAUGAUGUGAUCUCGUUAUCAAUGACAUCCAAUGUCCAUAGUCAGGAAACCAUGACUAUCUGUUGAUCAACGAGCUAGUCAACUAGAGGCUUACCGGGGACAUGUUGGUGUCUAAGUAUUCACACAUGUAUUAUGAUUUCCGGAUAACACAAUUAUAGCAUGAAUAAAAGACAAUUAUCAUGAACAAGGAAAUAUAAUAAUAAUGCUUUUAUUAUUGCCUCUAGGGCAUAUUUCCAACACUUUCCUCUACGAGGCAUCACCCUUUGUCACUCUUGCCCGCACACCUCCCCUCAAAACGAGAAGGCCGAGCACGGCAUUCGCUCCAUGAACGACAUUAUGCGCACACUCCUCCAAGCUCACAUGCCACCUUCGUUUUGGGUCGACGCCCUCAACACCACCACAUACUUACUGAAUUUCGCCCAUCCCGAGCCAUCGACCACAUCCCACCCUACUACGCCCUCUUUGGUACCUCUCCAGAUUACAGCUCCCUACGCACGUUCGUCUGCCUCUGCUACCAAAACCUCUAUGCCACUAUGCCCUACAAAUUAGCUCCCCGCUCCGUUCGCUGCAUUCUCCUCGGUAUGCCACUUGAGCAUAAAGGCUACAGGUGCCUGGACCUCUCCAAUCGAUGACUCAUUACCUCUAGACAUGUCAUUUUUUGACGAAAACACCUUCCCAUUCAUUGAUGCCCCGAGCGGCCACACGCCUGCACGAGCAGGGUCUGCUCCGGCCGCAGAAAAUCAAGCACCCACCUCCAUCCCCCUCGGAUCACCCACUCCACCAGUCACGCACCACCUCCCAUCCCCAAGCAUGCAGCCCGACCCCACCUCCCAAACCCAUGCAGUGAUUCACCCAUCACCUGCAUGCGGCGCGCCUCCCCUCGUGUCGACUCCACGCCUAGAUGCAGUAGCCCGCCACUUACGCCUCUGCAUGCAGCGCCCCUCACUCUAUGCCGCCCACGCAUGUAGUACGAUCCCACCCUGAGUCGUGCCGAUUUUACCUGCCAAAAACUUGCAUGCCAGGCGCACCUGCGCAAAGUCCAGUUUUCUGCAGCCAAAGAAGCUUCUGACCGUCGCUACCUCUCCCGCCCCCAUCUCUCCUAUUCCCGCAAACUACAAAGAAGCUCUCAAAGACCCCAACUGGUACAAUGUUAUGCUUGAAGAAUUUAACGCUUUGUUGCAAAGCAAAACGUGGUCUUUGGUUGCUUGCUCUGCAGGUGUCAACUUGGUGUCUGGGAAGUGGAUAUUCCGCCACAAGCUUCAUCUCGACGGCUCCCUCGCUCGGUACAAGGCGUGUUGGGUACUUCGUGGCUUCACAAAGCAGCCUGGCAUUGACUACGGGGAGACCUUCAGCCCCGUGUGGUGAAACCGGCCACCAUCCGCGUCAUCCUCAGUGUCGCCAUCAGUAACCGUUGGGCCAUUAACCAGCUGGACAUGAAGAACCCCUUCCUCCACGGCACUCUCGAUGAGCUCGUCUACAGUCAGCCGCCGGCUAGCUUCGUCGACACCGCACACCCCUCGACCAUGUGCAAACUCCAAAAGUCCUUGUAUGACUUAAGCAGGCUCCUCGUGCGUGGUUCCAGCGGUUCACCACAUUCCUUCUCUCGCUCGGCUUCACGGUGUCAAGAUCCGACACAUCCCUAUUUAUUCUCCGCCGUGGCACCUCAGUGGCAUACCUCUUGCUAUAUGUUGACGAUAUCAUUCUCACCGCUAGCUCCUCCGGGUUACUCACCAUCGUUACCGCCGCUCUCACCUCUGAGUUCUCCAUGGCGAACCUCAGCUCGCUCCACCACUUCCUUGGCGUCAAUGUUCAGUGCAGCCCCACUGGUUUGUUUCUUUCCGAGCAACAGUAUGCGCUCGAGAUCCUUGAUCGCGCCUCCAUGCUCAACUGCAAACCCAUCACUACCCCCGUCGACACCAAAGCAAAGCUCGCCACCUCGCCACCUCAGCUAACGACUCUGCUCCUGACCCAUCCCUCUUCCAUAGUCUCGCCGGUGCCCUGCAGUACCUCACGCUCAUGCGCCCGGACAUAGCCUACACCGUCCAGCAGGUGUGCCUCGUCAUGCACUCGCCGCGCAUGCUACACGCCGCCCUCCUCAAAUGUAUCAUGCGUUAUCUGCGUGGUACCACCCACCUUGGCCUUCAUAUUCGUCUGUCUGCUUCAUCCCAGCUCAUGUCUUACACAGACGCCGACUGGGCCGGUUGUCCCGACACCGUACCUGACGCUCGAUGUCUGGCUACUACAUGUACAUCGGUGACAACCUCGUCUCCUGGUCUUCGAAGCGACAAACCACCUUGUCGCGAUCGAGUGCGGAGGCAGAGUACCGAGCUGUCGCCAACGCGGUCACGGAGUCGUGUUGGCUACGAAGCUUCUUCAGGAUAUCGGAUGGCCUCCAUGGUGCUACCACUGUUUACUGAGACAACGUAUCGGUGACUGAAGGAAAUAUGCCCUAGAGGCAAUAAUAAAGUUAUUAUUUAUUUCCUUAUAUCAUGAUAAAUGUUUAUUAUUCAUUCUAGAAUUGUAUUAACGGAAACAUAAUACAUGUGUGAAUACAUAGACAAACAGAGUGUCACUAGUAUGCCUCUACUUGACUAGCUCGUUGAUCAAAGAUGGUUAUGUUUCCUAACCAUAGACAUGAGUUGUCAUUUGAUUAACGGGAUCACAUCAUUAGGAGAAUGAUGUGAUUGACUUGACCCAUUCCGUUAGCAUAGCACUUGAUCGUUUAGUUUGUUGUUAUUGCUUUCUUCAUGACUUAUACAUGUUCCUAUGAUUAUGAGAUUAUGCAACUCCCGUUUACCAGAGGAACACUUUGUGUGCUACCAAACGUCACAACGUAACUGGGUGAUUAUAAAGGUGCUCUACAGGUGUCUCCGAAGGUACUUGUUGGGUUGGCGUAUUUCGAGAUUAGGAUUUGUCACUCCGAUUGUCGGAGAGGUAUCUCUAGGCCCUAUCGGUAAUGCACAUCACUUAAGCCUUGCAAGCAUUGCAACUAAUGAGUUAGUUGCGGGAUGAUGUUUUACGGAACGAGUAAAGAGACUUGCCGGUAACGAGAUUGAACUAGGUAUUGAGAUACCGACGAUCGAAUCUCGGACAAGUAACAUACCGAUGACAAAGGAAAUAACGUAUGUUGUUAUGCGGUCUGACCGAUAAAGAUCUUCGUAGAAUAUGUGGGAGCCAAUAUGAGCAUCCAGGUUCCGCUAUUGGUUAUUGACCGGAGACAUGUCUCGGUCAUGUCUACAUAGUUCUCGAACCUGUAGGGUCCGCACGCUUAAAGUUUCGGUGACGAUUGUAUUAUGAGUUUAUGUGAUUUGAUGUACCGAAGGUAGUUUGGAGUCCCGGAUGAGAUCGGGGACAUGACGAGGAGUCUCAAAAUGGUCGAGACGUAAAGAUCGAUAUAUUGGACGACUAUAUUCGGACAUCGGAAAGGUUCCGAGUGAUUCGGGUAUUUUCGGGAGUACCGGGAGUUACGGGAAUACGAGGAAGAAGUAAUGGGCCUCAUGGACCAAGUGGUGGAAGAGAGGAGGCAGGGCGCGCGGCCCUCCUAGCCCAAACCGAAUUGGACUAGGGGGCCGGCCCCCCUUUCCUCCUUUUCCUCCUUCUCCUUCCUUCUCCUUCUCCUCCUUCCUUUCCUCCUCCUAGUAGGAGUAGGAAAGGGGAGUCCUACUCCUACUAGGAGGAGGACUCCUCCUCCUGGCGCGCCCAUAGAGGGCCGGUCGGCCUCCCCCCUUGCUCCUUUAUAUACAGGGGCAGGGGGGCACCUCUAGACACACAAGUUGAUCUUCGUGAUCGUUCCUUAGCCGUGUGUGGUGCCCCCUUCCACCAUAUUCCACCUCGGUCAUAUCGUAGCGGUGCUUAGGCGAAGCCCUGCGUCAGUAGAACAUCAUCACCGUCAUCACGCCGUCGUGCUGACGAAACUCUCCCUCAACACUCGGCUGGAUCGGAGCUCGAGGGACGUCACCGAGUUGAACGUGUGAGAACUCGGAGGUGCCGUACGUUCGGUACUUGGAUCGGUCGGAUCGGGAAGACGUACGACUACUUCCUCUACGUUGUGUCAACACUUCCGUUGCUGGUCUACGAGGGUACGUAGACGACACUCUCCCCUCUUAUUGCUAUGCAUCACCAUGUUCUUGCGUGUGCGUAGGAAAUUUUUUGAAAUUACUACGUUAUCCAACAAUGACGUACCUCUCCACCAACCCGGUACAACACCAACGCACCAAGCACGUGGAGAUUGAUCUUCAUUUCGUGCGCGACCGCGUUGUCUUCGGAGAUGUUCGUGUUCUGCAUGUUCCGGCAACCUCCCAGUUUGCCGACGUUUUCACCAAGGGGAUACCAACCGGCGUCUUGACAGAGUUCCGGUCCAGCCUCAAUGUCGUCGAAGACCCCGUUGCGGCUGUGGGGGGCUGCUGGAAUUGUAAAACGCCUCCUGCAUGUACAUUACCGGGUCCCUCGGCUGGACAGAUCGGCUCGCGCAAGUAGCAUGGGACACCUGCGUCUGUUACACACGAUCCCCUUCUCCGUUGCUUGUAGCUGCUGUACCUAGGCGUAUAUAUAUAACUCUGUACAAUCUGGAAUAGACACGGUGAAGAUCACCUUUCAACUGUUCGCACUGUGCGGCCAAACCUUGUUUGGCUGGGACUGACAAAUGAAAAUGAUGCACCCGAGCACAUCCAGAAGGAUCUGAACGCUCGCAGUCCAAACCAGCUUAUCGGCAUUGGUACAGAGUUGAGGCAAAACCGAGCAGUGAAGCAAGCUCCAGCAUUUUCAACAUGAAGGAAACGAAAAAGACGAAACAGGCUCCAACAUUCUCGUCAAAAAAGAUAAGAAAAGGAAAAAAGAAACAGGCUCCAGCAUUCUUGACACAAAAGAAAUGAAGAAGGAAAACGAAACAGGCUCAGGCAUUCUUGACACAAAAGAAAAGAAAAAGGAAAAGGAGAAAGGCUCCAAUAUUCUUGACAAAAUAGAGAAGCAAAAGAAAAAGGAAUCAGGCACAAGCAUCCUCGACACAGAAGAAAAGAAAAGGGAAAAGGAAAUUGGAUCCAGCAUUCUCGAUAAAAAGGAAGAGAAACAGGAAACAGGUUCAACCAUUCUCGACAAAAAGGAAAAGAAAAAGAAAACAGGCUCCGACAUUUUGGACAAAAGAGAAAAGAACAAGGAAACGAAAACAGGCUCCAGCAUUGAUCUCGACAAGAAAGAAAAGAAAAAAAUUUGAAAAGCAAGCUCCGUCAGAACGGUAACAGUAGCACCAAUGCUAAAGAAGAGCAAAUUGAACAGUAGCACCAAGGUGAAGGAAGCUCAAGACCGAUGAGAUGUCCUGGUUUCUAUAUAUCCAAUUAAUAUACCAUAUUUUAAUUAUUGUAACAAUAUGAUUGUAUUUUUUGUGAUGUAAUGAGUCGUUUGAUUCGAACCUCUGUUUGUUCAGUUUCUGCUUGCUGCUGUUGUAAUCACAAACCGUCAUGUCAAAUAAAUGGAGUGAAUAGCAAAAAACUACCAUAUUACGGGCUAUCGUUCCGGAAAACUAUCGCUUGUUUUAAUUUUUCAAAAAACUACCACAAAAGUGGCUGGCUGUUCCAAAAAACCCAAGUGGCCGAACGGUUAAGUUUUAACUGGGGUUAUGACAUGUGGGGCCCGCCCGUCAGGGUUUUGUCGGCCACAGUGCUCACGGCGCGCGGGUGACGGCCGUUAGGGCGCACGGCCCGUCCCGACGAGGUCAAAAUGGAUCCGGCCCUCACUCUGUCUCCCUCUCGCUCACUCACUCUCUCCCCCCUCACUCUCACUCUCCCCCCUCGCUCUGUUUCCCCUGGCCGAGCUCUCCAUCGUCGCUGACCACCUCAGUUCCUCGUCGCCGGCCAGGAUGCCUUCUUGGAAUGAUGGGGAUGAGAGCUCCGACGAUAGCAUGGGGGGCAACCUGAUGGACAUGGAGUACUUUGUAAGCCUCAUCGUCCUCCUCUCUGUCAUUAUCUAGGGUUAGGGUUGAAUCGAUUUGGGAAUGAGGGUUGAUGAGCUGUAUAUUUGUAUGCAUGGAUUCAUUUGGUUUGGUUAUCUAUUAGUUUUGAUCUAGGGUAUGGAUGGCACUGUGAUGUCUGAUCUGACCUUGAGCAAGGCAAAGCUUGACUCAAGUUGAACUAGUUGAUGCAUUGGUUCUGAUCUACCUUUUACUGCAUGUAGGACACACCUGACACCAUCCCUGAGCCACUCUGGUGUGGUGCUCCCAUGGAGGAAGUUGCCAAGUGUACUCUGCAUGAUAUGAAGCCUAGGAAGUGUGUUGCUUUUGAAGGUGCUAAGACUGGGAGGAGGUUCUAUGGAUGCCCUGUUCAGGUGAGUAAUUGAGUAUCCUGGGUGGAUUCAGUUAUGCCUAGUGGAUUCAGUUAUUCCUAGUGGUUACUGAAUUUGUACAUUAACUCUAUUUGAACUGAAUUUAGUACUGAAUUUAUGGUUACAUGUCCUCCUUGUGUACCAACCCUCUUUUUGAAUUGAAGUUAGAACUGAAUUUCUGCAUUUUCUGAAGUAUGUGUUCUCUGAUCAAACUACAGGGAGGUGUGAAUUGUGGUGUAGUUCAGUGGGUUGAUCCUGCCUGGCCUGAUGUACUUAAGAACUGCCUCAUCAAGUUGUGGGAAAUGUUCCAUGAGCAAAACCUUGGAAGGUUUCAAGACAAGCAUGCAUAUGAGGAUGAGGUUGCCAAGUUGAAGAAGGACUAUGAUCUGCUCUGCACUGAGUAUCAUAAAAUGGUUGAUGAUGUUAGCAAGAUGUUUGACUGGCAUGAUGGUGUUGGCAAGAUUGACUACCAAAAAGCAAUGGAUGCUGGGAAAUUUGAGAAGCAGAAGGAAGAGCUAGAGCUGGAGAUGAAGAUGGAGAAGCUAAGGCUAGCAAAAGAACAGAGGUGUAUCCUUCAGGCCCAGGCAGACAUAAUUCACAACACCAGGAAGGCAAUGAAAGAGAUAAAGGUGGACAGGGAUCUUUUUGCACAAGAGAAGACAAAGCUUGAGAAAGUAGUUGCUGAUCUGCUAAAUGCUGGCCAUGGGAGCAAGGAAAAGCUUGAGAAAAUCAAGGCCAUACUGGAGGCUUGAAGAUUUGGACAAUGGUGGUUAAGUAAGUAAGGUGGCCUACACAUAUAACAGGCCUUGCAAGAUGAUGGUAGGAGUAUAUUUUGUGCAGUCCUAUAUGAACUAUUUAAGUUAUGGUAACUAGAGUGGUGGAGAACCUUUGCUAAGUCUGGCUUAUGUUAUUGUACUGUUAAGAACCUAUCUAUCUUAAGUAAUGCAGUGAAGAACUGUUUUAUUUCUUUAGGUUGUUUUCCUGAAAGUAGCAAUGCUGAACUAGUAUAUUUUUGGGCCUAAAACCAUUAUGUACACAUUGUGGGCCUAGACUGGGCUGUUUUAUUACUCCACCUACCUACCACCAACCAUUAGUAGUCUAUAAAGCCCACCCCUUGAGUGAAACCGCAGUCAAUCCCCCCAUCCCCACCCUUCUCAACCCCCCAGCCGCCAAAGAAACCCUAGAAUCCAAGGGAGAGAUGGAUCCUGGAGAGGUCAUAGAUGGAGAAGAAGAGGUGCCCAGACAAGCCAGGCGCAGAGAUGCAAGGAGGAGGGCGAGAAGGCAACUUGCUGAGAUGAUCCUUGCAACACGCAACCGCAAGGACAUAAAGCAGUUCCUGGAGGCAUUCCCCCCUGGUUCCAACCCUAGUGAUGAUGAUAUCAUCUACUGGGCAAGGAGGAGGGCAAAUUUCCAUCCCUUUUAGGUCACUAGGCAAAGGUGGACUAGGAUUUUGUACCCAUGAUGCUGCUGUUAUGUUUCUUUGUUCCUAGAUCUGUCUUUCUAUCUAUGUGAUGUUUGAAGUUGGUGUAAGAACAAUGUUGAAUGAGCUAUGUAUGUGACGAAUCAAGUUGUCCAUGAUGCAAUGCAAUGUAUGAAGCUGGUGAAAGAAAAAUGUUGAAUGAUCUAUCUAUGUGAUGAAUCAAUCUGUCUAUGAUGCAAUUUAUGAGUGAAUCUUUUAUCUAUAUUUGUAUGUAUGAAUGAAUUGAUCUGGUGAUCUUGAUGUUUUAAGUUAGAUAUGUUAUGGUUUGUUCAGAUGGCCAUAUCUUGUUGUUUUAGGUUUGAUCUCUUAGGGUUUGGUGCCUAGAUGGGAAAAUCUUGAUGUUUUAGCUUUGAUAUGUUAGGUUUUGGUCCUAGAUAGCCACUUUGGGGUUGGUCAACAAGUAGCCACCCAAAGUGGCCAAAUUUGGGUGGCUUUAGGGUUGGUCGACAAGUUCCACCCCAAAGUGGCCAAAUGUGGCCACUUUGGGGUUGGUCGACAAGUAGCCCCCCAAAGUGACCAAAUUGACCUAAUCAUAUCAAUCAAUUAUCAACAAAAUAAAUCACUUGAUCUACAUAACAAUGCUCAGCAUAAGAAAUAAUUUCAUAUGAAACAAUUCAUAACCUAGGACAUAUCAAAUCAAAAUAAAGCUUGACAACAGAUAACUUAAUUGUUCCAAGCAGUUCAAACACAGACCAUAUAACUUAAUUGUUCCAAGCAGUUCAUACAUAGACCACAUAACUUAAUUGUUCAAAUGAAAAAAAAGUUCACUGCAAAUAACACAGAUAGCAAGCAUGCCUAGCAAGUAGAGUUCAAGGCAUAAAGCAUAGUUGAGUGCAACACAUUCAAUGGUUGCCACUGGCUGUGAAAUACAAAGCAAGUUUGCUUGGGGCCUUCCUCUUCCUCUUAGAACCAACAUCAGCUUGACCUGAUGUUGAUGCUGCCCUUGGAGCAUUGAAACCUCUUGCACUUGACCUGGUGUUCUUUACUGGAGAUGAUGCACUUGACCUGGUGUUGUUGGCUGGUGCUGAAGCAGGUGGUGGGUUCUUUCUCUUUCUUGAUCCACCUGUUGAAACUGCAGUAGAUGUGGUUGCCCUUGUUGUAGCAGAUGUGGUUGACCUUGUUGAAGUUGUUGCUAGUUUCCUGCCCCUAAGUGGUCCUAAAGCUGGAGCUGGACCUGAAGCUGGAGCUGGACUUGAAGCUGGAGCUGGACCUGAUGAUGUGGCCUGGUGGUUGUUUUUCCUUGUCAUAAACUUGGCCUUAAGUCCGUCUCCAUAGAUUGUCCACCUGUGGCCUUGCAGACCACAGUUACUGCAUGUUAUUGUGCCCAUCCUUGAUGUAUCCUUUGGAGCUGGCACCUCAAAUUCACCCUUUCUCCUAGCUGUCUGCUUCUUGCCUUUCUUCUCCCUGAAAACUGGUGGUUCUAUGUCUGGUGUGUUGGUGUUGGGCCAGAAUUCAGGGCCAGGGACAGGGUAGAUGAUGUGCUGGUAUGCAGCCUUAUACAUUGGCUUCUUAAAGAAUGGAUGCACAUAAUCUUCUGGGUGAACUUUUAUCUUCUGCAUUGCAGAUAUUGCAUGGUGGCAAGGUGAUCCAGUCAUGUCCCACCUCCUGCAAGAGCAGCUCCCUACAUCAAGCUUCACACAAUAUGUGUUCUCUCCACUAGUUACUUGCCAGAUGUUGGGACCAGCCAUGUUUGCUUCACAGUAUUUAGCCCACUUCUUGCUCUCCUCAAGCUUCUCCAUGUAAUCUGGGGUUAUUUCCCACCUACAGCUCUCUGUUUUCUCUCUGAUGCCCUGGUACUUAACCAUUAGUUUGGUCCUCAACCCUUCAAACAUGGUCUUAAUUAGUUUUGACCUAACAUCUAGAAUCAUUUUUUUGAAAACCUCACUAAGGUUGUUCACUACCAAGUCAGUCUUGCACACAUGAUCCAUUGCAUAUCUAGCCCAACACUCCUUAGGGAUGCCAUUCAACCACAUGUAGGCUGGUUCACAUGCUGCUUUCAAACCUGCCAUUCCUUCUUUGUGACCAUGUUUAGUGAAGGAAUAGCUAGCUUUGUCAACCCAUUUCUUAAGUUCUUCUGCUCUAAAGCCAGCUGACUGGAAGUUGGCAUAUAUGUGUCUUAGGCAAUAUCUUUGUGGGGAUUGAGGAAAUACUUCAUUAAUUGCUUUAAGAAGGCCCUGUUGUUUGAUUACAUAAGGUAGUAAUGAGAUAACUAUAGCAGCAUUGCUAUGUGCAUAAGAAUAAUACAGAGCCAGAGAAAAUACCUUCUGCCUGUCAGACAUGAUGGUGUAGUUUCCAAACUGGUUGCUGGUGCCAAUGCAGACUCUAAGUUGGUUUAAAAACCAGGUCCAGCUAGGCCCAUCCUCUUUGUCAACCACCCCAAAAGCAAUUGGGAACACAUUGUUGUUCCCAUCUCUCCCAGUUGCUACCAAUAUCUGUUGGCCUGUGGAUAACUUGAUGAAGCAACCAUCAAGUCUUGCAUAAACAGAGAUAGUUAGGGCAAAAUUGAAUAACUUGAUUACAUUUGUAACAUGAUUAAAUCACUGAUUUGUACCUAUGAAAGGCCUACAACCAGCAAGAAAUCCAUCUUUUGAUGCCUGGAGGCAAUAGAACAUGUACUUGAACCUUGGUGUGGGGGCUGGGUUCAAAGGAUCCUCAAAAGUUGUCACUAUGCACCUGCUUCCAGGGUUUGUGUCAAGCACACAUUGUAGGUAGUCCCUCAACCUCAGAUACUGCUUUCUAUGAUCACCUUGCACAACAUCAACAGCCAUCAGUCUUGCCCUAUAUGCCAAACUCCUAGGUACAUGCACCCCAAACUUCUUCUUAGUAUGUUUGAGAACUGUCUCUACAUCAGCCUUUACAUUUGAUCUAACUGUGUCCUCCACAGCUUCUGCAACCCAUUCAGCAGUAACCUUUGUACUCUCUCCACAAGCUCCACAACUAUGAUCCAUGUGGCACUUCUUGAUUGUGAAUGUAUCUUCAUGGGCUACUUUGGAUGCAGUCAUGAAAAAAUCACAUCCAUUCUUCCUCUCUGGGCACCAAACAAUAACCCUUGAUGGUUCAUUCCUAUGGUACUGAAAGUUUCUCAAAGUCCUAACAUGAAAAUUUCUCAAUGCCUUUCUAAACUCAUACACAUUGGUGAAGCAAAGGUCCUUGCACAGCUGCUCAUGUGCAUCAGGUACCUUUGGGUCAUACCAUUUCCUCUCUUUCUUCUUCUUCAAUCUUCUCUUCCUUCCAGAAGGUAGUCUUGGAGUCUCCCCAUCUGAGUCAGAAAUGCCCAUAUCACCAGGGAAGCAAUACUCAUCAGCUUCAAGUACAAAAUCUUGAAACUUUGGGAUCUCUGGCUGACUGUGAGCUCUGGAAGUUGGACCUGGAUUUGCUACUGCUCUUCUCACAGGCUUGAGUUUCUCAGGCCUGCAUUUUUCCACAACUAUUUCCUCUCCACUGUCUGCCUCUUUCUCCUCCUGCCAAAACUCUGAAACAUCACUGUCACCUUCAAACUGUGGUCUGUCUUCUAUAGCAUCUCUUUCUUCUUCAUUUCCAAUAUUUUCUUCACCUCUCUUCCAAGCCUUGUAAGACAUCUUUAUCCCUCUAUAGUCACCCCUAUCAAUCUCAAAGUCUGAGGAUGAUUUGUCAAUAUCAUCAUCCUCUUGACCAGCAGCCUGUCCAUCAUCAUCUCCACCAUUAGCUUCUGAAAUGUUGAAGUUACAGCUUUGCUGUGUGUUCAAAUUAACUUCAAGAGGGUGGACCACUCCAUCUUGUGACAGACUUAACACAAAACCAGGACCCCCCAGUGGGUUGCCUAUUGGAAUUUGUUCUUCACAAACAUUGUGAGCCCUGUUACAUUCAACAUCUCUAUCUUCAUUUGCCUUGGAAACAAUGAUAUUGAGCACUGUGAAAUCUAAGUGGUCUAUCAUUUCUUCAACUGCAUCUUGACUGUCCAAAAGAAAUAAACCUUCCUGUCCAAUCCCUUGUUCUUUUACCCAGUACAUGUAGUCAUCUGACCCAUAGCCUUCAGUCUCAGUAAGUGCUAUCAAGUUCAGAAAUGUGAUGUCUGAAACAGAAAACCUCCUUUCCAUAUUAUCUCUGCCCUGGAAAUGCAGCCUAACAUCCCAAACUUCAUCAUCUAGCCUGCAUUACAUAAUAUGUUAUUUGAAAAGCCCAACUAAGUAAGUGUUUUUGCUACAAAUAUUCAGUGCACACUACUAUAAAGUACAGUAAGGAAUCUGAAUCCAAAAAAUGCUUCUCUGAAUCCACCAUGCAUUUCUACUAAAUCUAACUAAUCCUUCAGUGCUAAGUGAUACUGUUGCAUCCAAAACAUGCCACAGAGUGUUUGCUCAACUAUUAUUCAGUGCAUGUUCAUGUUCUAAGAUGAAUCACAGCAGCAUCAACCUAGGGUUUGGUCAAAAAACUAACUAAAUUAUGCUAUGUUAUUUGAAAUGAACAAGCAGAAAUGCAGAAACUGUUGAAGGAGCUCAUAAGAGGAAAAAAACUUACUCCACCCCUCCAAAUGCAGAGGCCCAGUGCUGGGAGUUGGCCGGAUCUGCCUGCACAGCCCUAUCAAGAGACCUCGCUGCUCUGUACUCAAGCGAGAACUGGCAAUCAUCAGGCGACGGUGGUGUAGCCUGUGUCGUAGGAGCCUGCAUCAGAGCUGCAGCCUGUGGUGUCCGCUGCGGCGGCGGCGGCGCCGCCGGCUAGGUUGCGAAGCUACCACUCCCCAGCCAGUUAUCAACCUCUAAGAACUCGCCGCCUCCAUCCCCCCUUCCACCUCCACCCGUUGAAUGGCCGCCAUCGCCUAGUUUCGCCGCCGCCGCCGCCAUCGGAGAGGGAGGCGCGCACAAGAGAGAGGGAGACAGAGAGGGGGAAGACAGAGUGAGGGCGGGCCGGAUCCAUUUGACUUGGUCGGGACGGCCCGUGUGCCCUAACGGCCGUCACCCGCGCGCCGUGAGCACUGUGGCCGACAAAACCCUGACGGGCGGGCCCCACAUGUCAUAACCCCAGUUAAAACUUAACCGUUCGGCCACUUGGGUUUUUUGGAACAGCCAGCCACUUUUGUGGUAGUUUUUUGAAAAAUUAAAAAAAGCGGUAGUUUUCCGGAACGAUAGCCUGUAAUGUGGUAGUUUUUUGCUAUUUACUCCAAAUAAAUGCUUAAAAAGAGUGCAUCUAAUGGAGUAGUACAAAAUGGUAAAGAAAAUAAAUCAGCCACUAAUGGAGUAACAAAGGUGAUAGCACGGAGUUUGGUAGGCACCGACAAUGAGUAAGCAGGCUGAGGCCACCGGUGCACGAAGAGGAUCAGAAGCGCUGGUUGGGGCUGUGGUUUGGGGCGGCUGCGAUGAAACUUCUUAUUCAACGCUUAUAGCACCGUUUACAGUGUUAUCGGUACCUUUUUUUUGAGGGAAAGAGCCAACUUUAUUAAUCAAAAUCCACAGUGCGUGGGACACAACGAUGGUCAUGGGGCUGGCCAAGCCACACAUGACGCCCUGGUGGUAGCGAUAAAGAAAACCUAGCUAUCUCGUGAGCUUCAGCAUUCUGAGCUCGACUCUCAAAGGUGAAAUUACAUAAAAGUGGUGAUGAGCUCAUCUUUAUCUCUCUGAUUAUAGCUCCAUAAGUGCCAUGACUACCCAUAGCAAUGUCGCCAAUGACUUGUUUGCAGUCCGAAGCCACCACAAAACGUUGCACAUUAAGAUCUUGUGCUAGGGAAAUAGCCUCCCGACAUGCUAUGGCCUCCAGUGUCGCGGGGUCGCAAACUCCGACAAUGACAAGUGAUGAGCUCCCCAUAUAGACACCCUGGCUGUCACUGCAUAUGGCCGCGGCCGUGCCACCCCUCUGAAAUCUUACUGCCACGUCAACAUGAACCUUAGCAUAGCCAGCAGGUGGAGCCUUCAGCCUCUGAGUAGAAGCGUGGCCAGUAGCUGCAGAACGUACGUUGAUCUUUGCAGGGAGUGAGGCAGUAGCCAAAUCAGCCAUGAAGCGAGUUAUAAACUCCUUCGUCGCCCUGGGUGAUUGGAAUAUUGAUUCAUGGAUAGCUUUUCUCCUCGAGGUCCAGAUCGCCCAUAAGGUGACCGCCAGCAGAGUGAACUUCUCAUGUGUUAGCAUAUCCAUUAAUCCAAAGAGCCAGCUCUUCGCCCUCGUCUCCGUUGAUGCGACCAGACUGCAGCCCAAGUCCUCAUCUACCAACGCCCAUAUGCAUCUGGAGACUGUGCACUCCAGGAGGGAAUGACUCCAUGAAUCAGGAGAACCGCAGAGGCCGCACGAGCUAGUCGUUGACAUAUUACGAUGGGCCCUCACAUCCUCCGUCGGUAGUGACUGUUUUGAUAAACGCCAUAGAAACAUGCGUACUUUUGCUGGUACCACAGUUUUCCAGAGGGACUUCCAAGAGGCUUCAUCGACAUGGUUGCUGGAUGAUGCGCCGGAGCCCUCUAGCCACGCCUCUCGCCGUUGCUUCAUAGAUACCAACAUAUUAUAGGCUGACCUGACUGUGAAUUGUCCGGUUCUCUCGUGCAUCCAGCUCCAAAAGUCCUGCAUAGGAGCCGUACACAACGGGAUACCCAUGAUGAUUUUAGCAUCGAAAGGCAAGAAAGUUGCUUCCACCACAGAUCUCUUCCAUGAAGCAUUAGUUGCAUCGAUCAGUUCAGAUACUGUGUUGGGAGGAUUACUUACGCAACAACCAUACGGUCUCAUCAUCUCUGACCGGGGAAGCCAGUUUUCGGUCCAAAUGCUGGUGCUCGCCCCAUCUCCUAUCCGCUUGAUCAGUCCCAAUUUAAGAAUAUCCCGGCCUUCCACUAUGGCUCUCCAUAUCUGACUUGGAUGGUUCCCAAGUGUUGCCUCAAGUAUAGAUGUAUGUGGAAAAUAUACGCUCUUCAGAAUCCGUGCACUCAGAGACUCGGGGUCUUGUAACAUUCUCCAUGCCUGCCUGGCUAACAUGGCAAGAUUGAAAAGCUCAAAAUCUUUGAAUCCAAGGCCUCCCAUGCUUUUUGGUUGUGUCAUUGCUUCCCAAGAGACCCAGUGAGGUUUGCGUUGGCCGUUUGAGCUCCCCCACCAAAAUUUCCUUAUUAGCAUAUUGAGGUGCUCACAUAACCCCCUAGGUAGUUUGAAACAAGACAUGGAAAAUACCGGCACUGACUGGGCAACAGAUUUGACUAGUACCUCUUUUCCUGCCGCCGACAAAGUUCUCUCUAUCCAUCCCUGAAUUUUGCUCCAUAAUCUGUCCUUCAAAUAUUUGAAGGCACCGUUUUUUGAACUCCCUAUAUCAGAUGGCAUGCCCAGAUACUUCUCAUUCAAGGUUUCCUUGGGGACAUUGAACAUACCUUUUAUAGCAUUGCGAGUUUCCUCAGAAACGCCUUUACUAAAGAAAAUUGAGGAUUUGUUGUAGUUGAUUCUUUGACCUGAAGCUUGGCUAUAAAUUUCCAACAACUGGUUAACCUCUGUAGCACCCGCACUGUUGGCCUUGAAGAACAGCAGGCUGUCAUCAGCGAAUAGAAGAUGGUUAACUAGUGGUGCCUGCAGCGCCACCUGAAUCCCACCCAAGUUUGAUGACUCACUUUGUGAUUUGAAAAGGCACGACAUGCCCUCUGCUGCUAACAAGAACAAGUACGGUGAUAUUGGGUCACCUUGUCGGAUUCCACGUGAUGGGUUGAACUCCUCAAGUUUCUUUCCAUUGAACAUGACUGCGAAUUUUACUGAGGUAACCAUGCCCAUUACAAUAUCCACCCACCUUCUGUUAAAACCCAAUAUAAUCAUGAUGGCUUAGAGAUAAGCCCAUUCAACUCGAUCAUACGCCUUCAUCAUAUCCAAUUUCAGAGCACAUGAGUGAUUUUUCUUUUCCUUGUUCCUCUUCAUGAAAUGCAAUCACUCAUAUGCCGUUAUUAUGUUGUCUGUGAUCAAUCUCCCCGGAACAAAGGCUGAUUGUUCAGCAGAAAUUAUAUCUGGCAGUAUCUGUUUGAGUCUGUUGGAGAUUACCUUGGACGCUAUUUUAUAGAGCACGUUACAUAAACUUAUGGGCCGAAACUGGGCAAGGAGUGUGGGGUUUUUGACCUUGGGGAUGAGAACCAGCACCGUAUUGUUAAUGCAUGCUGCUGACUCUGUCCCGUCCACAAUUUUGAGUACCACUUUCGUUACAUCUGCACCGCAUACAUCCCAGUGGCGCUGAAAGAAGUGAGCGGGGAAUCCAUCCGGGCCAGGGGCUUUGAUUGGAAACAUUUGGAACAACACACUUUUCACUUCAUCGUGUGUGUAAGGAGCAUUCAGACGAUCGUUCAUUGCCUGCGUUACUUUAGUAGAUACUGACUCCAGUACCCUAUCCAUGCCCUGUACUCCCUCGGUUGUGUAUAAGUUUUUGUAAAAUUCGGUGGUAAGCUCCUCCAUCUCCUCCCUGUCCUCGGUCAGCUAUCCAUCCGAUCGCUGCAACAAUUUUAUCUGGUUCUUCCGGCGGCGGCGGCUCGCUCGCAGGUGAAAAGAAUAAGUGUUUUUGUCACCAUGGACCAGCCAAUCCAGUCGAGCGCGUUGGCGCCACAUCAAUUCCUCUCUAUCAAACAGUUCGACCAGUCUGUCAGCUAUCUUGGUUUCAGUGUUUGUCGGUCCCGUCCGUCCUGGCGCUGAACGCAUGACCUCAAGCUGGCGUUGGAGUUGGCGAAUCUCCAUACGCACCGAUCCGAAGUUGUUGCGGUCCCACGCUGACAAAUCUCCCGCCAGGUUCCCUAGUUUUGCAUGUAUGCCCUCAACCGAUUCUCCAUCCUGCAGACUCCAGCUAUCACGCACAGUGUCAAACAGUGUUUCGUCCCUUUCCCACAUCGUCUCAUAUUUAAAAGCCUUGUGGCCCAUUUUGCAUGCAUGCAACUCACGUAGCUGAAGAAGAAUAGGAAUGUGAUCUGAACUAGCAGCACUUUUGUGCGAUAGCUGUGAUGAUGCGAGGGCGAGAGUCCAUUCUGUAUUUACCAGGCACCUGUCCAGCCUAACCUGGGUGUAGGUGCCUCCUGUGACCCUUUUUUCAAAUGUCCAACUAGUGCCAGAGUAUCCAAUAUCUGAUAACCCACAUGUAUCAACUGCUUCCCUGAAUGCUUCUAUUUGGGCUUGGCUUCGUUGUCCCACACCAUCAUGUUCAUGGCUGUGAAGAACCUCAUUAAAAUCUUCCAUGACUGCCCACGGUCUGUUCUGCGUCUCAGCAAUACCGCGCAGGGUGUCCCAUGUUUUGUAUCUCUCUGGUACCUGGGCUUCGCCAUAGACAAAGGUAAUUCUUACCUGCAAAUCAACUAAGUCAUCAACAAGAAUAUCAAUGUGAUACUUUGAGUAAUCGAUAACUUCCACUUUUAUUUCAUCGUUCCAAAAAAUUCCAAGUCCACCACUUCUACCGGAACUACUAACUGCAAAGCUUUUAUUGUAGCCUAUGCUAUCAGCCAUACUCUCAACCCUCUUUCCCUCUAUUUGAGUUUCAAGAAUACAAACAAUAGAGGGGGCAAACUGCCUCGCUAGAUCGUGAAGCUCUCUAACUGUCGCGGCUUUGCCAAUCCCGCGAAAGUUCCAGCAAAGAAGACUCAUUGCGCUAGGCGCGGCCCCGCUUCGGAGCCCGCCACAUGCGCAUCAGGGUUUUUGGUAGAAACUGUGCUCUUCUCCAGAGCUGACUCAUUAGACGAGGUUGACUUCAAUCUUUUCAGAUCCUGCUUGGGAGGAGGGCUAAGGGGCACCGCAGGUGAUGGCAGAAACAGUUGCUUCGUCUGUUGUACCGAAUAGGUUGGGAACGUGGUUUUUGGAUCAUGUGCCCCUCUCUUCCUGUUGCGAUCAACCUCAGUCAUUGCUACAUCUCCGUCUCGCUGAUCACGUUCCUGGUGAUGUUGAUCAUCAAACGAGUCUGCACUAUUGGGCGAUCGUCCUCUUCCUCUUCCCCCACGGCCUCUGCCGCGACCUCUCCCUGCAUUGCUGCUCUCGCCUUGAUAUCUUUGAAGACCAGAGUCUUUGGGGCAUGAACCCCGUCCCCGCACUCUUUGUGUUGGUGACCUAGAUGUCCACAAACUGCACACCAGUCCGGCAGUCUUUCAUAUUUGACUCUAAAGAUGACUCGUUCCACCGAAUCCUUUUUCCUUAUUACCAGUGAAACAACGUUCUUCAAAGGUUUAGUGACAUCGAUCCUGACUCAAACUCUAGCAAAGUUACCUUCAAAAUCCGGGGAUCUAGGCUCUGCAUAUAUGAAUUCUCCCAUAGUAGCAGACAUAGCUUUGACCUUAGAAAAGAAGCCAUCGGGCAGGUCGUGAAUCUGGAUCCAAAUUUCCAAUUUGUUGAGCUCUAUAGACGACGGCUUUGUGAAGCCAUCAUACUCUGCCAGAACUACUGCUUUCCCCUUGAAAUUCCAGGGGCCAUCUCCCAUAACCCUCUCCCAGUCACCCAGGCACGAGAAUUGCAUUGAGUACAGAUUAUCUUCCAGUGGUCUGAUCUUUACCUCUUGAGCUAGGUCCCAGGCCACUCUCAUAUUCCUAUAAAACCAAUAUUGGCUGUAUGUUUUCUCCGUGUGAACCCUAGCCAACGCCAUCCAGCGUGUUUCUUCCUUCGGCAGCUCGGUGUCUUCCACCACAACAUCAAUCAGAUCAUCUUCUUUCAGUCCAAGUUCCUCCAUCAUCGCAGCCAGAUUGGACGCAGUUGUACUUGAUCCAGAUGCAGUCGAACUCAUCAUGCGCUCGCUCGAGGUUAGGGUUCCGCGAGCGGUAGGUCCCAAGGAGUCACCACCCGCCCAGAACGCCGCGGCGGCCGAAGGCCACAGCGAUCGCCGGAAGGGGGUUAACAUCCGGGGAGGAAAAGUCCCUACGGUGUCGGCGUCGCCGUCGCUCGAGGGAAGAGAAAAACCCUAACGAGAGGGGAAACUUAGGAGGGAGAUUAGUGUUAUCGGUACCUGCCGCCCACACUACUUUAGAUAGCUAAUUGUAACUGGGCUGGCCCAUAUGUGUGAGCCCUCCUCCAUUACCGGUUGUGAAGGAAUUUCCUAUUCAACGCUUAUACCAUUUGUUAUAGUGUUUUCCUUUUGUUACAGUGUUAUCCGGGGACCUCCUACUUGGUCACCUGCGCGCAAAGUAGGAGGGAACGUGCACCCUUGGCUCCCAUGUAAGAGUUUUUCCCGCCCUAUUUUUAUUAUUUCAUUUUUAUGCCUUUUGUUUUUUCAUUUCUGUUUGUGUUUUUCUUCUUUAAAUAAUGUGUGGUUAAAAAAAUUCCCAAUUUCAAAACAAUACCAAAAUUGUUUGACAAAUCAGGAAAUAUUUGUGAAUUAAAAAUUGUUGAUGACUCUUCACUUCAGUGUCUCGACCCACCGGAACAAAAGCCGUGUGUACAAAUUGUGUUCGAAGCUUAUCGUAAACUGGCUUAGCAAGUGUAGUCUUGCCAAGUCUGCCUGGUCCAACAAUUGAGACCAUCUUCAUCUUGUGCUGCUGUUGCUUGAGACCAUGUGUGAGCCUCUUGGUUAGCUUGUUCCAUGCAUCUUCAAUGCCAACGAGCUCUUUCUGAUCAUUGUACAAAGCCAAUACACGAGGGUCAACCUUCUGUUUGCUAGCUGGAUUAGGAACAUCAUUGACCCUGUAUCUGGCACGCCGGCCAGCCAUCUCUUGAGAGCGGUUCUUGAUGUACCUGAUUGCAUCUCCGAUCUGAUGGCGAGUCUUGCCUUUUGUGAACAAGUUGGCCAUCUUCCCUACCUAUCAUUUGAUCAUGUUUGAGUUGGGGACGGCAUCAGAUUCAUAUCCCUCGACGGACACUAGGAAGUUAUCGAUGACAUCCUCCAUGUCAUACGACAGCUCCCUUUUAGGGAUUCAUGUCCCUUGGAAUCUCCGCCACCUUUACGAGGGCAGCGUUCAAGCUCUUCAUGUCCCUCUGGAGGGACUCGACGUACCGAAUAAAUGGGAGUUAGAGGACAGGAAUCUGUUGUAGGAAAGACAAAGGAAAUUGUUCUCCAUCGCCGUCCGGUUCCACUGGGAAAAAAUUACAUCCACUGCAACACCAAGACCGCAUGCUUACCGAGUAGUAGUAGAAGCAGCAGAGCUGAGUAAGGCACCCACUACCGAAUGCAGGGAUAAAUCCAGCACCAAGUAAGCAGCUCACAAGUGAGAGACGGCAUGCGCUUUGCGAACGGAAGGACAGGAGCAGAAAACAUUUUGGGAGAAAGAUCGACGUGGCUCAGAAAAUUGAAGGCGGUCUACUCCUCCUGAUUGAAGCCGGCGACUACACAAGCGCCAUGGUUUGAUGGAGCAAGAGAAAUGGUGUUGAACCCCCAACUCGUUCCAUUUCUAGCAGAAAAGUAGGGCAAUAAUUGAGUGGUGGUAUGUUAUUAGUGCUGGUAAUGGAGUAGGAAGCACCCUAGAAGUGCACCAACUAGUACAUCAAAAUACUCCUGCCAGUGGCGGUGGUAGAUCAUUCAUGUGUACUACUCGAUCGUAACAAGAACAAUUACAUGAACCAGCUUGUGCCACUAGUAAUAAUAUUUAGCUUAUUUUUACAUUAAGUUUUGCAAUGAAUAAUAUUUAGGUUAUUAAAAAGACUAUAGUUUAAUGGAUGGCCCAGAUUUGGAAAUAUUACUGCAGAUUUUUGGUAGUAAUAGACUUGCUUCACUUGUCGAUUUAUAUGAUCUGUCGCUUUCAGCGACGUUUGGGGCUGUGAUUUGGGUUUGUUGUCAUUGAAAUUGCACAACUAUAGAAACUGGAUUCUUUUUUAUUAUUAUAGUGAGCACAAGGAAUCAUGUUACUAGUUGAAUUCAUAGAAAAAGACUCCAUUCAGACUCUGUCCUGCUCCAUGAAAAUAUCCUAUCAGAUAGACGCAGAGCGGUACAUAUACAGACUCAGGUUUCUUGAAAUCUAAUGCAACCAAGUCUUGUACAAUGGUCACAUGUUAUGUGACCUGAACCAAUUAUGGGUUUGCACUUGAUAAUUCCCGCACGAACCACAUGUAAACAUGGUUCGAAGGCUUGAAUAACAAUGUAAAAUUGAUGUCAAGUUUUCCCGACUUGAUUCCUGUCUAGGUUGGAGUCAUCAGUCUACUUGAAGCACUCGUUUUUCUCAUCUACGUUGGAGGACUGAUUGGAGCAUGAAUUAGUUGAGGAGAUAGAAACCCAUUUUUGGCGAGGGAGAGGACAGAAACCCAUGACACAACAAGGUUUUCAUGAUCAUCAUUGGCUAACUUCAAAGUUCCAACAGAGUGCCAACUACCAAGUGAGUAGCAGUACAAGGCACUGUUCAGCUGAAUCAAUCUUUACAACAUUAACCUAUCAUUCACUGGCGUUUCAUACCCAGAAUUGACUCUUAUAACAGUACAGAAGCAAACCCCUACUUCGAGUCAGUGUUGCUCUGUACUUUUUUUAACGGAGGUUAUAACUACGGCCUCUUUAUUUAUUAUUCAGCGGCCAUCUUUAUUUAUUAUUCCACCAAAGUCUAACAAAAACAUACAUCAAGCUACUCGAAGACAUCACUCACACCUACAAAACUCGAAAAUGUAGAGUGCUCUCACACUCCUCAUAUCUAAACCGGUAUCGUCGCUGAUCCAUCCACAUAACGUGUCGGAACGAACAGCCAGUGCAGCAGACCUAAAGCGCACACCACAUGCACAUGUUUUAGACGCCGCCAUCAUCUGCAGACCGCUGACCCAUCUUCAGGAGAGAGAUCCACAUCAUCCUUGCCAGUCCGUCCAUCCAGUCCCUCCCUCCUCUCGGCCUCCCUAUUAUCCCUCCUCACCCUCUGCUGCUGAUCUGUGGCGGCCUCUCCAAUAGCUCUGUGGCCUUCUUUCGCUGCCGCACCGGCCCGAGCGUUGUCGCUUGCAAGCCGUCCGGAGGCCACAAUGGCGCUCUCCCGUCGGGACUUUGCCACAUUCCAGCAUAUCAGUUGCUCUGUCAUGGGGAUCUGUCCUGCUCCUAGCCGUGUCUCCCGCGAUGGUGGUAGACCUGACUUGUACUACAAUGUUCUUUGGUCGCACGGCUGGCCACGGCGGUUUGCUCCGUUCCUUUGUAUCUAUGUUGCAGCUUCAAUUGUGUUAUGCAUGUCAUGGAUGUAUUAUAAUUCUGGGAUGCAUGUAAUUGUAUUGCUAUGAAUCUUAAAAUUGCUAGGUGUUCCAUGAACCAAUGAAUAUGCUAGAAAAUAUUACUCUGUCAUAUAUAUGUUAGAAAAUGUUCUCGUCGGGCCGGGUUUCUCUGCCCUAGAGAACAUAUUCUACAUGUUAUAUGCGACAAUGUAGUGAUGAAUAUUUCACCGGAAAUAGUGUAAAUGCAACCAACUCCCCCAUUAGGAGACAGAGUGGAAUAUUGUUUGACGAUAGACUUGGUUUAUGCAUAUUCGACGCACGUUUGAAUUUUUUCUCCCGAGCCACAAGAAAGCUCCUCGCGCGACCGCGUCCGUCCCUCAUGGGCGGCCGGCCGCGCUGUCCAUCCCUCCUUCCCAGCGCUCUCCCCCACCCUCUCUCUCCCCACCGUUGCCGGGGUGCAUCCCCGGGCUCGGCUCGGGCGGCGCCGGCGGUGCGGCCCACGGCUUUCCCCCCUGCGGCAGAUCCUGUGCGGGGCGGCGCUGCUUAAGGAGGUGCUCUCAGGUGGCGAUGGUUCGGCGCUGCGGUGGGCUGGUUCGCCGCUGACUUCGGUGGUCAGAGGCGGAGGAGCUCCGCGGCGGCGCGGGCUGGUGGCGCCCGUUCGGCCCAGAUCUGGGCCGAGGCGGGCCGGCAGCUCCGAUUUGUGGUGUAUCUUCCUGGAAGCGGCGGUGGGGUGUCUGGAUCCUGGGUGGUGGCGGCAUCGUUGCCGGAUUGUGCAGCGUGGCGGUGGAGUCUUUGCGGGAUCGAUCUGAGCCCGGCUAGGCCCGGGUGGCCUGGUUUGCCUCCCGCCUCGGCGUCCGGCUGGCUACCGCGAUGGCGUUGGAGGAACUGGCCUCUGGCGCGGCGUCGGUGGAGGUUGUCCCCUCCCGCUUGGCUGCGGUGCUGCCACCCCCGGCUCCAUGCGUUCUCAUUUUCCGUCCUCUAGGCCUCGCGGUGGUGGCCUUAGUGAGACGGCGUGGGUGGCCUCAAGACCGCGGUGGCGAAGGAGGGUGGGUGGCGUGUUGGGUGGAAGACUCCGGAGCGAUUGGGUAGUGUGCACAAGUGUUAGAAUCCUAAAAGGUAAAUAGUUUCUUAAGAUCUGAAGCAAGUGUUGGAAGAUUCUGCUGCCUCUAGAUACACAACAAAUGUCCACAUGUUGCUUCUUGGAGAAGCCGAGAGAGCCUUGAGCGGAGUGUUUAACCUUAUGUAUGAUAUUCUUAACUACCAUUUGUAUUAAAUGAACCAAUAAACAUUUUAUGUUAAUUGUCUUGACAAAUUUUGCUGUGUGCAGACUUACAUAUUAGUGGCACUACACAAAAAAAGAUGGCUAAGGGGUUUAUGAAGUAGGAUAGAGAUUGGUGAGAAAAUAUGUGCCCUCUCUCUCGUUUGUAAAGAGGUUCAAAUGUUAUGUGUGUAGCUUUUGCUAGUAUUCUCGAAUCGUUGGCCGUGAAUUGUCAAUUGUGUAAAUGUACAUGUGAAUUGUCUUAUGAAAAACAAUGUGCAACUGAGUGAUUAUGCCUGUGUAUUGUGUUCAUGUCUUUCUGUAAAUUUCGUUUGCAUUGCUGGUAACAUACUGAAAUGAAGUGCAUGCAUGCAAUGGUGAAAUGAAUCGGUACGAUCGACUGGCUGGCGGUCCAAACUAGUACACUAUCACUGACCGGUUAGAUUGCGGGUCUAUGAUGAGCAAGUCAUCACAAACCCUGAUCCACUGACAGACCAGCAACUAGUUAGUGAUGAUGAAAUUUGGCCGGUAAGUGUUAUUCGGAUUUGUAGUANNNNNNNNNNNNNNNNNNNNNNNNNNNNNNNNNNNNNNNNNNNNNNNNNNNNNNNNNNNNNNNNNNNNNNNNNNNNNNNNNNNNNNNNNNNNNNNNNNNNNNNNNNNNNNNNNNNNNNNNNNNNNNNNNNNNNNNNNNNNNNNNNNNNNNNNNNNNNNNNNNNNNNNNNNNNNNNNNNNNNNNNNNNNNNNNNNNNNNNNNNNNNNNNNNNNNNNNNNNNNNNNNNNNNNNNNNNNNNNNNNNNNNNNNNNNNNNNNNNNNNNNNNNNNNNNNNNNNNNNNNNNNNNNNNNNNNNNNNNNNNNNNNNNNNNNNNNNNNNNNCUCGGGUUUCUGCCCCUUUAUGAUAUAUGAGAAAACUGAACGAUUCAGGUGAAACUAGUCAUGAUAAUAAUUAGCAAUUCUAGUAUUUUAACACACAUAUCCCAAUCACUAUAGUUUUUUCAAACGACUAUUUUAACAACGCAUCUACGAUUCAUAGUAAAAUGUGACAUUGUAUACUGUAAAAUUUCUACAAUCUACAAGGUCAAAUUUAUUGUAAAUGUGACCACAACACCAGAUACACUAGAAAUAAAGUAAAACCCUAAAAGUCCCAUGCUAGCUAGACUACUCUUGGUUGGCUAGAAAUUAGGAGGGAGUACCCAGAUGCCAGUUUGAGCACGAGCUGCUACAUAAGAUCCCGCUGAUUUGAUCCUCUGUGUGACAUUGUCGCUACUUUCAUCUUGCAUAGGAUAUACACGGUUACCAUUGCCAUCAAAACUUGCCAAGUAUGUCAUAUCAUCAGCGUAGAUGUGGUUUCUCUGCACCCUGUCGCGCCCAACCACCGGCACGUCAACCGCCCUGGACAUUUUCCCCAAAAAUAAGGCGGAGUCACCCAAGGUCCUUACUUCCUCCCACUUACGAGCAUACUUUGUCAUCGAGUCAUCAUCCAACACAUAAACCUUGAAGAAAGGCUCAGGGCCGGUGUGGUAUGAUGGGAAUUUCCCCAGUACCAUCGCUAGCUUCCCUUGCAGCUCAACAAUGUGAGUCGACCAUGUGAAAGGUUCACUAACAAUCUUGAUAUGCAACUCGGCGUCAAUGGCGAGCAGAGGCCUGCCAUAUUUGUUCGCGCCUAUGUUGAAUUUGAUCAGGUCAUUGGAGAAUAUUAUAUUAAUGUCAAUUUAAUAUUAUACUAUGUGUCGUCAAUUUAAAAGGCUCCUGCCGUCAUGCCUUUGAGUAUUAUAUUAAUGUCAAAUUGUUUAAAUGCUAGUAAUUAGUUAACUUAGAAGCAAACUGUUUAUUGAUAAAAUGCUAUAGUAUAAUUAAGGGAGUUUUUUUUUUGAAAAAUAAUAAUGUUAGAUAUAUGCUGAUGCAACAAGGGCAUGAUUUUAUUUGUUAGCAAUACUAAUAAAAAAGUUCAUAGAAAAUAAUUUUAUACUCCCGAGGGUUAUACACAUAGUUUAAUUUGUUAAUUGUUAAAAAGUUAGCUAUACAACUAGCUAUAUAUUUGUAAAUACUAAUUAGUAGUGUAAAAAAGCAGGAACGAGCACCCGCCUAUGAUACCUUGAUUUACCAACACAAAACGUGCAUCUUGUGUGUAUGAUUGUGAAAUGCACGUUGUGUGUGGAGUUUGACAUCUAAUUUUUAACCCGCUGUUGGUCUUUCAUAUAGAGGAAUGUCUCGCUGUGCUUCCACGAGUCCCUGUAGUUCGCUACGGCUCAGAAACACAGUGUUCGGACGUCAGAUACACUAAAGUUGCACUAUGACAACCAUUGUACAAUCCAGCCCGCCUCAGUUAUAUUAAUAAAAAUAUCGAUCCGAGAACUUUAUCAUGUAUCUGGUUGCGACAGACGCAUAUACGUUCGAGAAAAAGGAGAUAAAUGGUCCUGCGAAGGUAAGGUGGCAGCUAUCGGUGUUCUAGUACACAAGACAACCGAACGCUACACACAGUACUACAAGUCAGUAAUAAAUAGAGUCUGGCGACUACUAGGCUGGCAUGACAGUGCUGUCGAGCGACUCGCCGAUGUGUAUGGCAAUGUGGAAAAUGCAUCCCAUUACUUCUCAUCUCCGCUCCUCUUUGCUCGGUUUGUCCAAGAAGCGGAACACACCACUCAUGUCGGCCUACAUGGCAUAACAUGCUCGUGGAGAAACUAUGNNNNNNNNNNNNNNNNNNNNNNNNNNNNNNNNNNNNNNNNNNNNNNNNNNNNNNNNNNNNNNNNNNNNNNNNNNNNNNNNNNNNNNNNNNNNNNNNNNNNNNNNNNNNNNNNNNNNNNNNNNNNNNNNNNNNNNNNNNNNNNNNNNNNNNNNNNNNNNNNNNNNNNNNNNNNNNNNNNNNNNNNNNNNNNNNNNNNNNNNNNNNNNNNNNNNNNNNNNNNNNNNNNNNNNNNNNNNNNNNNNNNNNNNNNNNNNNNNAAGACGAUGAAAAUUGAGUAAACACAAAAGUAAAGUAGCCGGUCUCAUUAUCAUUAGAAGACGAUGGCAACUACUGCAUGCACCCAUACAUUCUUGGAUCGCUAUAUUUGGCUUAUUCGGUCACAAACCGACGACUUUGCAGCUGCUACAUAAACAACGCUACUCUGGAUCUUAGGGAAAAAUGUUUGGAGACGGAUAUUGAUAAAGGAAACCGAGGAGAGUUGGUGAUGUGAGUCUACUCCAUCGUGCAUGCUACCUACAUGGACAAGCACAUCCGACCUGGCACAGCCUCGAGUUUCAUUAUCCCCUCUUGAUCCCUCUGAUGUUUCCUCUUUCUCUUCAUCAUCAUCUUCACAUCCCUCAAUGUGCACGUUUUUGUGCCUCGAUUUGAUUGGUUCAACUACUUGCUGGCUAUCCUCAGAGUGGUCAAUUUUUUUGGUGUUCGCGAGGAGUCACCAGUACAAGCAUGGUACUGAUAUGUCAUACAUGACCGUGGCAUUUGUACUUGUAGUUUCCUUUCAUUUUUCAUUUUCCUUUUUAAACGCAUACUGUACUUUCUUUACUACACGAUAAUUAAUAUACACUGCACAUUUUUGUAGUAUACGUCAAACAAAUUUUUUAAUUGUAUGAAAACAUAUUUUAUAUUCACACUAUUUUAAAAAAAUAUAGUGAAUAUUUCUAAAUACAUCUAUAAUUUUUUAAUACACAAUGGACAAUUUUUUCAUGUACACAUAACACUUUUUAGUAUAUGAGGAACAUUUGAAAUAUACGGCGAACAUUUUCUAUAUACCCACUAAUAUUUUUAUAAAUGCUGAACAUUUUAAAAGUACACGUUCAUUUUUGUGUUUUCACAAACCAUAGAAAACCAAGAAACUGAAGUAAAAUGAAUAAACGAAAAAAAACAGUACCGGACAGCUCCGUCGCUGCAAAAAUAGGUCUGCACGUCUUAGUGGGCCUACCCAUUCAGAGUCACCUAUGCGUAUCCUCAACUUUUUCGACAACGGGUGCCUUUUAUUUACUUAUAAUGUUGCAUCGAGGGAUACAAUCAUAACAAGCACACACCCAAACUAUGUAUAACUAGCAUACACACUGCGAACACACAUAAAAAAUCACACUGGCAAAUAACAAAGUCAAAUAAGACAAGAACUAUGGCUAGACACAUACAGAAAACGAAGGAAAGAAGAAGAAAUCCCGAGGCGACCAAAAGAGCAUACGUGAGUGAUCAUAUGUGCCAACCAUCUGAACUACUGCGUCAACUAGGAGGUCUCGCUUCUAAGGCCAUCAAUAAUAUUAACGAUGGUUCCAUAUAAAAAAAGAAUAUUAACGGUGGUAGCAGGUGCGAGAUCUUAAAUUAUCAUUUUUUAAGGCCGCUCCAUCGUUUUUGUUCUGCACAAGUGGCUCCCCUAGCCGUAACCCCACCCACUGGUUAUGUAGUUCUUUAAGAGAAAAUCGAUGACACAUGCAAGCAACAAUUUUGUAUCUUCUGUCAUUUGUUUAUACUAUGCCAUCACGAGGAGAUUGCACUUAAAAAGACAAAUUGCAUAUAGGAUAGUUAAAAAAGGGUUGUUUUCUGUCGUGGAAAGGUUGAUUCUAGUAUGAGUAUUCUCUUGGUAUCCGUUCCUUCAUGGAGAAGAGAAGGUGAUUUUCUCUCGCCGCCCCGUCAAUUGAAAUUAUACAUGUUCAAUGAUGACAUGAAGGUUAAUUUCACACCACUCAUUCAUUGUGCUUGCCUUGAGUUCCCUUCAAGGAUAUACCGUGGCAUUCCCGCCUCAAAGAGCUUUUUCAAACCCCUUUCUCAAGAUGCACAACUCAGUCAUUGUUAUCUUGUGUAGACGGGUUCAUCCAACAGGGUAUAAGAUAACACGAUGGACUGAACUGAAGAGAAAAGAAAAAAAAAAUCAUCUACUAAGCCUUAAGCAUUAAACAAGCUUGGAGUGUUGGUCAGCGUGCGACAUCAUUCAAGAAUUUUGUGGACCUACGCUGACCCAAUGAACUUGUGCCCUAUCCCUUGAAGAAAUAUCUCAUCAAUUAUGAAUAAAAAUGUUUGAAGCAUAGAAGUACUCAUGUUUUGACAACAAUACGACCCAUUGUCAUAAACUCAUAAUAUCCCCAAUUUUUACUCAUGAAAAUCAUGUUUGCAUCCCUUUUUGACUCGUUACAUUGCAAUUGUGUCCCAAUUAGAUAACAAUAACACUAAUGAUUGAGCUUGCCAUUGGUAUUCAGUUAUGUGUACACACACAUCACCUUAUGGGUAUUUCACACGAGAAGAAAAUUAGAGGCGAUUUAUUUGCAACUAACAGGCGCUUGCCGCCUCCCAUUGGCUCGCUGCUUGCCAACAAGCAUUCGAUUCCAUUCAACUGAAUUUAAGAAAAAUGGUCAGCAUGUUGGCGCUGUACUGUGUUGGGUUCGUUGAUUGCAUCCAUAUAUAUAAGCAGUCCAUUCCAUUCAACUCAAUUCAUCAACUGCAUCCAUAAUAAAUAUCAAAAAUUCCCCAUGGCACACAACGUGAUUUGCUUGCUUCUUGAUCGGAUUAUCAAACACCGGAGGGGUGUCUUCCUGUGUGAGGGUGGCCGAAACAAACUCGGCAAUUGCAGACGCUCUGAACUCGCCAUCUGCAAUACACACAGUACAUUGUUAGCCAAUUUAACAGUCAAACCAACUCGGUACAUAGAAAUGGAAAGGAGAAGCUAAAACAAGUUUACCAUAUACUGUUAACUUCGCCUCUUUUUUCUUGAGCAGGACUAGUGAUGGGCGCUUUGCUUGCGGGUCAACAUGGAAAAGCUUGGCUAUAUCAGGACUGGUAGUCUGGUAGAUGUUGACAGCCCGGUACAAGCUGUUGAAAUCUUCCAGCCUUGAGGCAGCAGCAAGCUCUUCGGUGUGAGCACCCUAUAGCAUUUGUUGAUAAGAGUAAUCAAUUUUGGGCCACAUGUGCGGUGCAAUUGCAGCAAUUCGGUUGGAUGGUAGACUUUGCUGGGAUUGGAACGUACCGAAAGGGAGUCGAGGAAAGCUAGCACGGCUACUUUGCCGCCGGUGAUGAUCUUCUCGGCCUCGUCGAUGGUGGUGACGUUCUGCACCUCAGGGCCCAGCCUCUGGGAUAUCCAAGUGACCAUGGCGUCCCUGCAGCAGUGGAAAAUUCGCCACCAUGAGGGAUGAAAUAUAAGACCGUUUAGAUCACCAAAGUAAUCUAAACCACGAACAAAAAAUAAGAACAAAAAAUUUGAAUGGAACAUUUCCUGAAAUUCACAAACAUUUCUUAAAAACAUGAAUCUUUCUAAACCACGAACAUUUUUUAAGUUGUCAACAAGAACAUGUUUUGAAGAUUCAGAAGAGUUGUAGUAAUUUUUUUCUUUAAUGCAAACAUUAUUUUCAAUUUUUGAACAUAUUGUGAAAACAACAAUAUUUUUAGAAUUUGGAAUAUUUUCAAAAUGCAUUUUUCUAAAUAUUGUUUUUUAAAUACAGUUAUUUUUUAACAAAUGGCAAUAUUUUUUAAAUUUUGAAAUACAUUUGGCAGAACUAAAAAAAUUCCAAACAUUUUUAGAAUAGGAACACAUUUAUGUAAUUCGUAUAUUUUUAUGAAUUCUUGAAUAAAAAUGAAAUUGCGAUAUUUUCCGAAAAUUUUGAAUUUCAGAAAAUACGUAGAAAAUAGACUUAGAAUGUGAAAAGUAAAAAAUAAAUACGAAACAAAAAGAGAACUAAGCAGAAAAAUAAAAAUGGAAACCGAACACAAGCAUAAAUCGGCCGCUGAGUUUUGGGCGCCUUGUGCGUACCUGAAACUAUUUACCGCCUUGUGCGGGAAAUAGGAUUUUUUGUUGCUACAUGGGCAGGAAAAAAUGGGCUGAAUUUACGGGGCCAUAGUGCGCGCGGCCCAUGUACGAAAUUUUGCACAAAUUGUUUUUCCUUUGCUAAUAGACGAACAUAGAAAGUUUAGUACCACCUCGGAAAGAAAAACAAUAAUUUUUUGGCGGUGAACGGAUAAAAAAAUCGGAGAAACGCACCUUGCUUUAUUAGUAGGUAUAUAUAGAUAUUGAUAUAGAUAUAGAUUGCUCAAGGUGAAAAGCUAAGGCUAUCCUCUUAAGAAAAAAAACGAAGUUAUCUUCCUCGAAAGAAAAACAAAACUAUGUUAUAUAUCCUCCUCUCAAUCAACAAAAUCACCUCUCCUCGAGCAAGCCAACUCUGACUGCACCAUGGGUAAACGUCAAGAUCCCUCCGAACGAUACACGAGAACCGUCUCGGCCACUGCCAAACAAUUGGCCACAAGCUUCGACAACAUAGCAGCUUGGAUUUUGCCGAUGAACUUUGCUGGGGAAAAUUGUAAGCCUCGCACCGAUCUAGUCCAGCGCAAUCUCUGGAGAGCAGCGUCCACUGAAACCAUCUUCAUGGAGUCAUCGUUUCCGCAGGCGCCCCUCCACACACAGCUUCAUCUUCUUUGUUACAACAAGAAACAAGCAUAGGCACACCCAUUGGCACACCCGACUGUCAAAUUCAGAAGGGCCAACCACGACCUAGCUCCGCUCGCCACCAUUGUCGUCGCCACGAGUGCCAACACCAACUACUCGCAUCAUCAGCUGUGCACCAUCCAACCGUGAGAAUGUGCAUAUCCAACCCAGGAAAAGUGUGGAGGGGAACAAAUCUUCAAGACGGCGCCCUAAGUGGGGAGCGAUGCAGAAAUAACAAUGUUGUCCGACCCUGCAACAGGGACCUUAGGCUUUUACUGAAGACAUCCCAAGGGUGACCAAGAUGGAAGAGCUGCACGGCGACCCUCCAAGAAGGAAUAACGACACUAGCAACCGCCACAUCAUCAUUGAUGGCAUAAUCCAGGCAAGCCUUUGCCCCGGAGGAACAAACGUGCACAUACACCCCCACUAGACAAAAUACUGCCUUACCUAUAGACAAAUCAGUUCUUUUUUGGGCGAGAUAAGCCCAAAGUAAUCUGUGCAAAUAUUCUCUGUAAAUUCAAAAUCUAUGUGUAUUAUAUGUAGUUAAUCAACAUUUUACCGCCCAAAUUAGAAUCCUAGCCACUUUAUACCUCGAACUUUCAUUAAAUGUGUCUAGACUUACGUAUUGAGUGCACCAUGCAUGCUGCCAAGCCAACCCGCGUUGAAUCGCGCCAUAAAUUUCCUUAAGUUUAAAUUUCCGCUAGGAUUUACCUUGUAAAUAAGUUUCCACCGUUCUUACUAGCACAAAUUUAAAGCUUUGGGGUAAAUCCUUUCUGCAUAAUCCCUGUAAAAAAUGAUAAAAGUAAAGGUACAAAGUAGAAAUUUUAAUAUAUAUCAUCACACAAUCAUAGUACAACCAGCACACACAUACAAUUAUCAUCCAUACAAGCCAGAAAAGUAAGUCAGAACAAUCACAAGAUUUACAUGGGCAUCAUACCCUAAUCUUGAUUGAUCUUGACAUUAUAUAGCACAGAAUGACUUGAUGGUGGUGGGUUACAACACACCACUUAUUUAAUCCAGCAGGCAAUAUAAGUCACGAGUAUACUAUAUCUGGCGCGGUUGAUGUACUCGAACAUCUCAUCCCAGCGGCUCCUCUUGGAUGUGUGCUUCCACAUUUUCCUUUUCCGCUUGUGUCCCAAGUGGUGGUUUUGGUUGUGCAUUCGGGUCCGGCAGUCCAGGCAGUGGUUGUGGGUUUGGGUCUGGUAAUGGUUGUGGGUUUGGAUCAGGCUGCGGUCCUGGUAAUGGCUGAGGGUUUGGGUUUGGUUGUGGGUCCGGCAAUGGUUUUGGGUUUGGGUCUGGUAAUGGUUGUGGGUUUGGAUCAGGCUGAGGUCCUGGUAAUGGUUGAGGGUUUGGGUUUGGCUGUGGGUUNNNNNNNNNNNNNNNNNNNNNNNNNNNNNNNNNNNNNNNNNNNNNNNNNNNNNNNNNNNNNNNNNNNNNNNNNNNNNNNNNNNNNNNNNNNNNNNNNNNNNNNNNNNNNNNNNNNNNNNNNNNNNNNNNNNNNNNNNNNNNNNNNNNNNNNNNNNNNNNNNNNNNNNNNNNNNNNNNNNNNNNNNNNNNNNNNNNNNNNNNNNNNNNNNNNNNNNNNNNNNNNNNNNNNNNNNNNNNNNNNNNNNNNNNNNNNNNNNNNNNNNNNNNNNNNNNNNNNNNNNNNNNNNNNNNNNNNNNNNNNNNNNNNNNNNNNNNNNNNNNNNNNNNNNNNNNNNNNNNNNNNNNNNNNNNNNNNNNNNNNGGCAAUGGUUUCGGGUUUGGGUCUGGAAAUGGUUGUGGGUUUGGAUCAGGCUGCGGUCCUGGUAAUGGCUGAGGGUUUGGGUUUGGUUGUGGGUCCGGCAAUGGUUUUGUGUUUGGGUCUGGUAAUGGUUGUGGAUUUGGAUCAGGCUGCGGUCCUGGUAAUGGACGAGGGUUUGGGUUUGGCCGUGGGUCUGGUAGUAGCUGCGGGUUUGGGUUUGGCCAUGGGUUCAUCAACCGUUGCAGGUUUUGGCCUGGCAAUGGUUGUGGAUUUGGGUCAGGGUGUGGUCCUGGUAAUGGUUGAGCAUUUGGAUCAGGUUGUGGCUCAGGCAGUGGUUGUGGGUUUGGAUUAGGUUUAGGAUCGGGUAGUGGUUGCGGGUUUGGGUCUGGUCGUGGUCCUGGCAGUGGUUGUGG
rnacentral:lncRNA from 1 species